AAUUUCUUCCAUUCAACCAACUGGCAGCAUUGAACUCUCAUGCUUAUGUACAACAACAACAACUACUACCAUUCAGCCAGCUAGCUGCUGUGAGCCCUGCUGCCUUCUUGACACAGCAACAUUUGUUGCCGUUCUACCUGCACACUGCGCCUAACGUUGGCACCCUCUUACAACUGCAACAAUUGCUGCCAUUCGACCAACUUGCUUUGACAAACCCAGCAGUGUUCUACCAACAACCCAUCAUUGGUGGUGCCCUCUUUUAGAUUGCUUAUGAGUUAUAGUUCAAUAAUAAAGUUUUUUUUGCUGAUAUUUGUGGCUUCCCAGAAAUAAGAAAGUACAUUUCUAGAUUCUUAUGUGCUUCUAGUCUCCAAAUGUGGUUGAUAGUUAUUUUGCUCUAAGAUCGGCAGUAAUGAGGUAUAAAUACUUGUUGUCGUGUGCUACUCGGUUAAUUGAGCAUUAACACACAUAAACAUUACAAGGAUGGUAUAAUCUCCUAAAAUGUGUACAUUGUUAGGUGUAACCCUAUAGCCAUGCAGAAUGUGCUAUGUUAGGCAUGCCGAUGGAAACGUGUGACACAUACGUUUUGUUAACCUAUUGAUAUUAUAUGUGCCUUUUAUAUUACCAUAUUUUAUUAAAAUACUAAUAUUUAUUACUAGUAAGAUAUAACAUUCUAUCUAGCUUAAAAACUAACCAUAAAUAUUCCAUCAUAACUAGAUUUACCAAACUAAUAUACUAAAUAUACAUAAUAAAUACAAAAUUAACAAUACAAUAUCAAUAUUUAUGAGCUUAAUAAAUUUAAACAUUAUGGUUGGCCGACGAUAAUCAUACUGACUUUCCGUAAUUGCUUGAUUGUAAAUAUACUUAGACUAAUGCCUCUUUGUUCUACAUGGCAAAUAGGGACCACUCUAGGAGACUAGGAUGUUGCUUGAGACGAAGAUGUUAUCAUUGGUGUAGACUAAUUUCUAUCAGCCGCUGACUUCACUAUUGUAACCAUUAUCUCUUGGGUAAAUCAUAUACGAUUAUCUAGCCAAAGGCCCAGAUGAUAAAAACAAUUUUUAAUUGCUAUUUCAGGACAAAUGAAUUAGCAUGGUUCGAAGGAUUGCGACCUUCCCCCCAUGACUUUUAUCGUAUUGUGUUAGUCUAAUCGACAAAACCAAGAUUAGAUAUCAUCGAAGAAGUUGAUAAGCGAAUCUGUGACCACUAUCAGAAUCAGCUGCUUUGCCGAGUGUCUAAAACACUCGACAAAGCCUGAAAAACACUCGGCAAAGGAUUUGCCGAGUGUAACACUCAGCAAAGAAAGCUCGGCGAAGUAUACAUCGGCAACGACUUCUUUGCCGAGUACUUUUUAUCGGGCACUUGGCAAAGAAGCGUCAUUGUCACGACGAUAGGUAAUGCCGACGGAGUCUGUGACGAGUGUCACAGAGUGACGCUCAGCAAAGGCUCACUCUUUGCUGAGUGACCACUGUACAGACACUCGGCAAAGAAGCCCCCGUGGGUCCCUUUAUCAGGGCCUUUGCCGAGCGUAUUAGGUGGCACUCGGCAAAGGCUCCAUCUUUGGUGACUGCCCGCCAGACUAGCAAUCGACAAAGGGAUCAACAGCGGAUCCCUUUGUCAGUUCUUUUGUCGAGUGCUCUAGGAGGCACUCAAUAAAGCUUGUGUUGGGGGCCUUCUUCUUCCGAAGGUCCUCAAAAACGUGACUAACCAUAGGUUUUCAGUAUGACAUAGACUAUUAUAGGAAGCUUUGGCUUUGGGAUGAAGGCGUGUGAUAUGAGGAUACAGCCCAAAGGCAACAUGGAUGGACGUCGAAGCUAUGGCUAAAGGAGUUUCGGCUUGGCAUGUUAGCGAAGAUGAAGGACGAAACCGACCUAAGGGAGAAAAGACUAGUUAGUCCUUGAUAGUUUGCAUUAUGAUUAAGAGCAGAUAUCAGGGGCAUGCAUGUAAUCUUAUCCGGGCUGCGUCCCGUGCCUAUGAAUAGAUGAAUAGUAACACCGUACUGUUCACGCUGGAUUAUAAUCGCUCCUACGUCACUCUCGCGUCUUCACCUUUUGGUAAGCUGAAGGUAUCAAUGUAAUACAAAUAUUGAUGAUGUUUAUUCAUGUUUAUGAAAUGAGAAUAUAAAUAGCUUGCUGAUUCGUAAUCAUUAUUUAUAUUCUUUUGUAUUUCAUGUACCCUUAUUUAGAUGUGUUCACUGAGAUGAUGAAGGUAUGCCCUUCAUGACCUUCGUUCGGAAACCAUUAUAUCCAAAAGGAGAUAAUGCUUCGAAGGACGAAGGUCUCUAAUUAUUGACAAUCAUGUUGUCUUGUUCUUGAUGUAUAGCAUUUGGGAACAAGGACCAACAUUGGCGCCCACCUCCCGUGAACUCAAUCGACCACCUUCGGCAAGCAUCGACUUUCGUAAUGCCGCCGAAGAAGACAAUAGUGCCAGGGGCUGCCCUGCAGCCACUGGACACUAAUCAGGAAACGCUGCGAGAAGCUAGGAUCUAGAAGAGGAAGGCUACUAGCCCAACACCUCAGGAGGAGGAGCUAGAUCAGGAGAUCAGAGAUUUGGAGGCUAUCACCAGCAGGUACAAAGAAAAAGGGAAAAGAUGCUUCAGCUCGUCGAACUUCAGAGAAAGAUCGACAAAGCUGCUGAAGAAAUGCGUCACCUUACCCAGGAUGACCAAGACCGAAGGCCCCAACAUAGGGAGCUUCAUCAAGAAAGCCCAAUUAAUGACGAUGAGUGGUAUGGUGACUUUCAUCGUGGCAAUUUUGCUUUUGAUGAUGCUUCUCCCUUGGCAGCAGAAUUGCAGGCUACCCCGUGGCCGCCAUCAUACAAGCCACCUCAGCUCCCCAUGUAUGACGAGCACUCAGACCCGAAGCAACCAUAUCCUCAUAUGGGGGCAAUACUGCGGUCAUGGCAAAGUCCUUCGUCAUGGCAGUUAGAAGCGUGGCUCAAACAUGGUGCUCUUCUCUUCGGCCAGGGACAAUUACGUCGUGGCAAAAGCUAAAAUACAUACUGGUCACUAGCUUCUAGGGUUUCCAAUCGAAACCAGUUACUGUCCAAACUCUGUUCCAGUGCACACAGGACCAAGAAGAAUACCUCCAAGCGUAUGUCCGAAGGUUCCUGCGAUUGAGAGUUCAGGCGCCUACAGUGCCCAAUGAGAUUGUCAUUGAGGCCAUGAUCAAGGGGUUCAGACCAGGACCAACGGCGCAAUACUUUGCAAGGAAGCCACCACAAACCCUAGAGAAGCCGACGAUGAUUUUCGGCAAAGAAGGCAAGAAGCCUACAGAUACUCUGAGAUGGCCAGGGGCUUCGGAGGAAGAUUUCACCCUAGGCAUGUCAGGUCAAUCCAUAAUACCAGCUCAAGUGACGACAAGGGAAACCAUACCCAAAGGCAGCAACACAGCUCUCAGUCGUCAGGAGCACAACAAAGCUCUUUGAGGCCACCGGCUCCAAGAGGUAGAGGGGGGAGAAGCUUCGGAGGAAGAUAUGGAGAUCAGCCCAGUAAACAGUUUUGUUUGUUCUGCGGUGAAGAUAAGGGGCAUACCACAAGAACGUGCCAAGUUAUGAUUCAGAAGCAGAAAGAAAUUGCUGAAGCUGAAGCACGUUCGAAUCAGCCGAAGCAGGUUCUGCAUACUGCUUCGUGCUACUCUCCCUACGUCCCGGAGUAUGUAGACAAUCAACAGCCUACGACCUUGGUCGCUUCGGCAAGCCAUUCUCAAGCUUCCUGGGCCCAGUUGCCACCACCACCACCGCUAGCACAUGCUCUGGUCCGCAAUCAAUAGCCAGAAGGGCACCACCAUGCUUAGUAAUAGCGCGACCUUCGGGAGGAGUCCGAAGCUCGCACAGUCAACAACAUUGUGCCUAAGUCGAAGCACAUCUAUUAAAGGUGCCACGGUGAUUCAAUUAAAGAAUAUCUUACCCUAAUGUAUCUUAGUUUUUCCGCCAUUUUAUUUUCUUGCAUGAAAAACAAUUCACGAAGGAUUAAUUUCCAAUUUGAUGUAAUAAUACCGUGGUCGCACCAUCGAGUGUGGAGCGCAUCGCCUUAACAAUACUUCCGAAGCUACAAAGACGUUCCUAAGGGAGCGCGGAGUAAGUUCUGAAGCUACAAAGUUGUUCAUAAGGGAGCGCAGAGUAAGUUCCGAAGCUCAAAAGUCGUUCUUAAGUGAAUGCAGAGCCAAGAUGCCACCAAAAUAAAAGGUGAAGAAGCUCAAAAGUCAUUCCUAAGGGGAUGCAGAGCUUAAAUGCCACCGAAAUAGAAGGUGAAGAAGUUCCAAAGUCGUUCCUAAGGGGAUGCAGAGCUUAGCUCCAAAGAUGUUCCUAAGGGGAUGCAGAGCUGAAAUAUAACCUAAGUAAAAAGUGAAGAGACUCAAAAGUCGUUCCUAAGGGGAUGCAGAGUCUGGAUGCAUUUUCGAGUGGGUGUGUUUCUUCGGCAUAAACAUCAUGCUGUAUCAUAUCAUCACAUCAUUUCUCAUAGCAUUACAUCAUACAUCACAUCACAUCAGCAACAGAACUGUGGAGAAGCAAAGAUGCUUCUUUCAAAAUAUUUGAUGAAUGGAACAAUGGGCUGAAGCAGAAAGUGUACCUUCAACAGCUAUAAUUUUACAUACCAAGAAAAAUCUUCGUCGACAAACAAUAUUAUAUAACAGCUACGACAUAAGAAGGGGUGAUUUUUUAUUUGUGAAGCAUGAAAAGAAGGGAAGGUGUUUUUUCACCAAAGGCUAAAAAACAGGUAAGUACAUACAUUUCAUGCAUCACAAAGAAAUAUAUUACAUUAAUAUACAAACAAAUGUUCGAUGUUCGACUCAUACACGAAUAUUACAUUUCUUAGUACACAAGAAUUUAGUCUUCUUUCAAUAUUUUCUCGGUAGCUUCAUGUAGGAGUUUGUUGACAGCUUCAUCAACGGCUUCUUCGGCAAUCCUUAUCGUUUCUAAUGCCCCCCUCAUGGCCGGAUCGGCCUCGGGAUCAUAUGGCUCAGGCGGUGGUGAAAAAUCAGCUGUAAUAAAGAACAAGUUGUUAAUAUCAAAGCCAGAAACAAAUACUGAAGCUAAAAUUCAGUAAUAAUACCUAUACGCCUUGCGCGCUCAGCAACCUCUUGGCUCGCUUAGCUUAUUCUCGAGCAUCAUGGGAUUCUUUUUCAUUUGUCUUUAUAGCUUCAUCGGCUAUCUCACGGCCACCUUUCAUCCAAACAUUGGAAUAAAACUUCUCGCCCAUCAAAGUAGCUUCGGCCGAAGGCUCCUUCAUGUCGUCUAUGGAGAAGACGGCUUCCGCCUGGGCUGCAGUUUUAACAUGUUCACAGCCAGUUUUCUCCAAAACUGCUGCAACCCCUCGGGCACCGGCGAAGGCACAAAAAUCCUCGCGUUCGCUAAGUAUUUCCUCAAAAGCUUCAACUUCUUCGCAAAUCCAUUGAACGACUCCUUUUGGAUCGCCUCGAAUAAAUUUUUGCUCCGAUGAGUAUGCACCCACCUUUGCAAAACUGUCUUUCAGUUUCUUUGCAUAGUCCAUGGAUACUUCGUAGCAUUUCUCUCUGGAACCCCGAAGUUCUUCAACAUUCUUCUCAAGCCUGGAGCUUGUCCAUUCACUUAUAUCUUACUUUGCCUUAGCAAGUUCAAUAUUUUCGCUCAUUUCGGCAAGUUUUUUGUGAAGGUCUUCGACUUCGGCUUGGUGAGCUUCGGAUUGUGCAUUAAGUUUUGCUUCGUUGCUCUUCAGUUUAUCCACCAAGGAAAGCAGUAUUUUAUCUUUUUCAAGCGCCUCGUUCCUUAAUGUAAUAACUUAUGACCGAAGGUUCCCAAGGGCUAUUUGGCAGCUUUCAUCUUCUGCAUUCUUUUGUGCCCUUAAAGCCUUGCUUAGGAUUAAUGCCUACAAAAAAUGAAGGAUCAGCACACAACAAUAAGAAAAGAUACAAAAAGUAAUCUGCUUAUAAGCUAAAAUGUCCUCACCAUCAGACUGUUAUAAGCAAGGAUGUCUGCAAGGUCAUCUUUCGACAUUGCAGACAACCCAAGCUCUAGCUUCGGGAAACCUAUAUUUUUUGCCAUCUCCCGACAAACAAAUAUUUUCUUGUUGUCUGGAAGGCAAUACAAAAAAUCAUCUUCGUCAGUGCCAUUAAACAUGAGGGAUCCUGGGGGAUACUUCAGAUCCUUAGCAAAUUGCCUAGCUUCGGCAACCUGCUCCUCUGAUAGUUUUUCCCUACCGCGUGACACACUAUAAAUUCCGAUCCCUCAGUAGAAGCUUCAACGGCAAGGAAUUCAGAUUCUUUGCUGGUUCUCUCUUUUCCUAACGGUAACGGAGCUUUUUCAGCAUCCAAAGGUCCUUUUUCAGCAUCCUUUUCAAUAAGCUCUGCAGGCCCUAUUUCUGCGGGAACUGAGGGCCCAGCUUCAGCUUCAACCCAAGUUAUGAUAGCUUCGGCAGUUUCCUUUGUACUUUUCUUACCCAUGCUAGGUACUUCUGUAGAGGCAGGAGUUAGUACUUUUGUCGAUUCCAUGACAGCAUCCAGUACACUAGCCAUUCUCCUCCUUUUUGGAGUUAUCAAAGUAGUUUUUUGAAUCUUCGGCAAUUCUGCCUCUGGCCGUGAAAAAGUUUUUGGCUGCUCCGCUGCUAUCUUCAGAAUUGGCUCUUCGGCUGAUCCCAAUAUGGCUUCGGCAGUAGCGAGAUGAUUUUGCUCAGCUGCAGAAGAAGACCCUUCAACAGGCUUUGACACUUUGGCCGUCUCAGAGUGCCUGGGCCGGUGUGUCAAGACUUUGCCAUUUUUCCCUUCGGCGUGGCAGAGAUUGCCGAAGCAGUAGCCUUCCUUUUCUUUCCCUGCUUUCGCGAGGGAUAACAAUAGUCUGGGUACACAAAACCAAUUACAUCAAAAACCCUAUUUAAUCUCUUCUUGCCUCGUCCUCCGAAGGCCAAUGUCAUGGCAUCGUCUUCGGCCCUUGUGUAGGCCCCAAGCAAUUCGUCACUAGUAGCCUCAAUGCAAUCCAACCAGUCAUCGUUCGGCUCAUCGAACUGAUCUCUGUAUCUGAAGGUGUAUUUCAGAUAAACUAAACUAACUUGACUGGACCCGGCCGCAGCUUCCUUCGACAUCUCCCAGCCACUUCCAAGAGGCCACACUCUGUAAGCAAUAUGCUCCUAGACUAAGUCCCUAGUGCCAAUAUAAGUACAUAAAGUGUUAAAGUCCGUAUGGCAUGCUUGAAUAUCAUGUCCAUGGACAGUGGUUGGCCUCCUAAUGCCGAAGCGAGACCAGAUAGGGCAUUGAAUGAUCCCCUUUAUAUCUUCUCUUUCAACUAAGUUGUUCUUCACAUAAAACCACUCUUGCAUCCAGGCUCCUGGCCACCUCUUCCAAAAUGUUGGGACGGGAUAGCUCACACCAGAGCGAGGCAUGAAGCCGUAACAACGAAAAUUAUUAUGAUAUUGUUCUAUGCCAGUAGCCUUUGUCUCAUAGGACAGGUCAUGCAUGUUGCAGAAGCAUUUUGCAUUCGGCUCUAAACCCUGGCCCAAAUGAAAACUCCCAUUCUGAUGAUAUCUUCGGGGGUAAUUUGAUGAAGGUAAAUUUCAAAAGUCUUCAAAACUUCAACUAAAAAUUUGUUCAGGGAGAAUCGAAGCCCUGCUUUCAUAGAACUCCUGUAGACAACAACUUCGUCUGCUUCGGGCAUAGGGGCACUGCUAUCUCCUCUGGCCCUCAUGAUAGAAAUAUCGCGGAAGUAUCUUCCUUUCAUUGCAUCAAUCUGACUCUGUUUGAUGGUUGAUUUAGCAAAGAUGGUAUGACUCGGUCGCCAGGGCUGAUCUUCGACAUCUUCGUUUCCACUUUCUAAGUCAAAACUUUCACUAUCGCUGGAAUCUUCAGACAACCCAACCAACAUCUCAUUGGUGAUCUUCUUCAUAUUUGUCUUCUCCAUAGCUUCAUAAAACCCGGCCAAUGCAGGGUCAGCAAUCUUCUUCUCUUUAGCCAUUUAGACAACGAUUGCACGAUUGUCGAAGCUUAAAACUCAAUCAAAACUCGACAGAGCAAGAGAAUUCAGAAUGUCUAAAAUAGCGCAAGCAACUGAAAUAGCACAGCAAAUGCUGCCAAUGCGAGUUUCUAUUUAUAUGCCUCACGAUUUGGUGGGCCAUACAUGUCAGUGGCUUUCGCUAUUCUAGCGAAGGGAAGGUGUUUUUUCGGAUCUUCGGUUAAAGGCCUUCGUUCACGUCACAGUCUAAAUUUGUUACAAAGAAACAAAUUAAUACUACGAGGGGCUACUGUUGGGGGCCUUCCUUUUCCGAAGGUCCUCAAAAACGUGGCUAACCAUAUGUUUUCAGUAUGACAUAGACUAUUAUAGGAAGCUUCGGCUUUGGGAUGAAGGCGUGUGAUAUGAGGAUACAACCCGAAUGCAACAUGGAUGGACGUCGAAGCUAUGGCUAAAGGAGCUUCAGCUUGGCAUGUUAGCGAAGAUGAAGGACGAAACCGACCUAAGGGAGAAAAGACUACUUAGUCCUUGAUAGUUUGCAUUAUGAUUAAGAGUAGAUGUCAGGGGCAUGAAUGUAAUCUUAUCCGGGCUAUGUCCCGUGCCUAUAAAUAGAUGAGAAGUAACACCGUACUGUUCACGCUGGAUUGUAAUCGCUCCUACAUCACUCUCGCAUCUUCACCUUUUGGCAAGCCGAAGGUAUCAAUGUAAUACAAAUAUUGAUUAUGUUUAUUCAUGCUUAUGAAAUGAGAAUAUAAAUAGCUUGCUGAUUCAUAACCAUUAUUUAUAUUCUUUUGUAUUUCAUGUACCCUUAUUUAUAUGUGUUCACUGAGAUGAUGAAGGUAUGCCCUUCAUGACCUUCGUCCGGAAACCAUUAUAUCCAAAAGGAGAUAAUGCUUCGAAGGACGAAGGUCUCUAAUUAUUGACAAUCGUGUUGUCUUGUUCUUGAUGUAUAGCAUUUGGGAAUAAGGACCAAUAGCUUGCUUCUUUGCCGAGUGCCAAGGCCACAGCACUCGGCAAAGAGUCUUUACCGGUGCGCAGGUGUGCCUUCUUUGCCGAGUGCUAUGACAUUGACACUCGGCAAAGUAUCUCUUUGUCGAGUGUAACACUCGACAAAGUGACCAGAUUAUCCCUUUUUAUUUGUUUUUGCUAUUCCAUCCAAACAAAUAAAAGAUAUAUCGCAUAAUCAUCACAUAUACAUCAUAGAUAUCACAUAAUCAUCGCAUACAUAAUAGAGACUGCAUAUUUCACAAAAAACACAAAUCUCACAAGUUUUUCUCAAACAUGUCCAUGUUCAUACCAAGAUUCACUAACAUAAGUAUCACACAACUCUAAAACAUAAGUUUUUCACAAACAUAAGUUUAGGACAAGUUUAUCACACAAGCUAAGAGAAGAUCAUGAGCGAGGUGGGCGGCUGGACUGGUGCGGCGACGGGCUGGGCGAUCCACGAGGGUUGUUGGAUGCCGCCCUAGAUUGUCCCUGCACAGAGAAGAGAUUGCCUGUGUUAUACUAGAUAAAUAUACAUCAUGCAGGACUAGAAUUUUGAUACUCAUAGGAGUAUGGAACUGAGCAGGGUCAACUGGAGGGAACAACGGAGGUGGUGGAGCAAAACCCUGUGCGGUGCCAAGGCUCUGCAUGUACUGGAACAUCUCUGCCAUCCUCUGUUGAUUUUCCAUGUGGGCCUCCCGCUCCGCCAUCAUCCUCGCCUCCAUAUCCUACCGUUCCCUCCUCUCUUCUUCUAGCUAGGCAUAUAAUAUUUCAACCCAGUGUUAUAAUAACUCAAAGAGAAGGUAUAUAACUCAAGGAAAGACGAGUUACAGAAGCACUAACCUGGAGUUGUUGUAUCUCAUGAUGUGAGUUGUCCUGUCGAGGUCGUAUGGCUGGGCUUGAGCUCGUGGUCCUUGCUCGCACCUGAGACAGAGUGGGAGUGGACAACGAGUCGAUUGUCCCGUCGGCAAUCCAGUACCUCCCAUGCCUCUUGCCUCCUCUGACCCUCAUGAGAACAUCUCCGUCGAUUUCCUUGGUCCUCGGAUCGUAAUCUGGCCCAUGGACCUCAUGUGACAUGGCAGUGUACUCACUUAGGCGGUUGUAGACGGCGGAGUUGCUAUAUGCCUCGGGCCCGUCAUCCGGGUUGUAGGUGACAUCGGACGUCGCCUUUCCCUUGUGGGCCAUAGCAUAAACCGAGAAGAUGGAGCAUGGCUGGCCACCAUGUAACACCAAAUGCAAUAAAAUCAAUGAGAUAGUUAGAAAUAAUAUCUAAACCAGUGCUAUAUACCUAAAUAAAAAGAGGGCGUACCCAUGCUUCUACAUAUUUCCAGAGGUUGCGACUGCCUUGGUGGUGGGAGGGACCUUACAUCAUCAAAUGUCGUUCCAUGCUAGCGUUGUGCGCCUCGUCCCACUUAGGCGAGCACCACCUAUCCACCAUCUGCUCCUAGCACUGAGGAUGCGCGGCGCACCAAUAAGGAAUCAUCUACAAACUAAAACAAGUACAUUGCAUAUCAGAAGAUAAAAUUAAGCAAUUUUUUUCACGAAUAUUAAAGUGAUGUAUUUACCUGCAAGUAUUGGUCCCUAGUCAACGACAUGGUUCGGGCCUCUUGUUUGGUCACCUUCUCUCUAAGGACGGAGCCAUGGUAGAUGAUGAUGACCUAGAUUCGUGCAUCGUAGUGCAUGUCCACGACGAGCUUCUUACAGCUUGUGGUGGCCACCACAUUUGCCCUGGCCUCGUAUCCAGCCUCGCAUCUGAAGAAAUCCUACAUACAAAGGCGAUAUAUCCAUACAUUAUUUCAAGUAUGUGCAACAAAUGCGACAUAUUUUACAAUAUAGUAAGACUUACUCAUAGCUUUUGCUUCACCCGCUCUGCCAUGUUGUUAAAUUCCCUAUCGUCCUAGUCUACUGCAUCAGGGGUGACGACGUAGUGGUCGAAGGUGUAGGCAGUAGGUUGGGCCCACCACUCCAGCGUACUCAACCAGUCCAGGGAAGUGUUCCCUACACAUAAGGCCAAGGAUGCCAUUGGGUUGUGGUCGUGACUCCCUGCAUUCUCCACAACCUUUCAAGACCUGUCCAAGUGAUAAAUAAAAAGUAUUAGUUUAUAUUAUGAAUUUGAACACAUAAUAUGAACAAACAGUGAGAACAUAAAAUUACAUGUCUCUCCCCAUCCUUCUGAAUCAGCGACCGCCUAUCUCGAAGUAUGGGACGCUGAGGGAGACUCGUGGGACCUCGCUGGUAGACGUUCCUCGAAUCUGAAGCACCAGAACCUGAGGCGUCUUGCUGAGCGUCGUCGUCGUCCUACUGUGUCGCAUCGAUAACGACCUGCUGCUGGACGUCGUCAUCCUGUUGUGCCUUCUUCGCCUUCCUACGGGUGCUCCUCCUCCCCCUCCUUGUCCUCAUCCCACCGCCCACCAUAUUUGUCCAACAACCUGUAAUUAAGGGUAAGCAAAUAAGCACAUAUAAAAAAGUUUAUUUACAAAUAGGCGUGAAAUAAAAAAAAUAGCAUUACAUCGUUUAAAAAAAUCUUCAUAUGUGUCGGGGUUAGCCAGAUCAUAAGUGUCAUCAUCACAAUCAACCAUUUCAUAGUCAACACCAUCUGAAGGCGCAAGUUCUUCAUUAAUGUCAUUGCCUUCAAGUAAUUCUAAGUCAUUCUCAUUUUGCACCUCAUCAACAACCAUUUCAAUAUCUACUUCCAUUCCGAUAGCUUCGGUUAAGUCUAUCUCAAAUCACCCUUCUAGCCCAUAUUCUUGGAAGAACUCUCCAUCAUAUGUAUCCGGGUCUAAGUUAUAAUCUUCAUCAUUUGGAACAGGUAAUUUACCGUGCAGUGAUACCUUAUACACAACAUCCCAACCCAUCCAUGCCUCAUAUAGGAGAUGAAGAAUCAAAUGCUGCAUUGGAUUGAAGAAGUCGAGUGGAAAUAUCUUCUCAAGCUUACACAAAAACACGGGUGUCAAUCUUUCCAAGUCUGCAAUCACGGACCAAGAUAACUCUUUCACACAAAGCUGGCAGAAUAAAUAGCUGAACUUUGUAAGCGCUAGCCAUACAUGCUCAGGGACAUAGCCUCGAACCAUCGUCGGAAGAAUCUGUUCAAUCCAUAAGUGGAAGUCAUGACUCUUCAUCCCUAAGACUCACAGAGUAGAUAAGUUCACCCCCCUACUUAGGUUAGCUGCAUACCCAUCAGGAAACAUCAACAUCUUGAUCCACUAAAGUACUUCCUUCCUCUGGGCCCUACUUAGGACGAAAUCGGCCUUAGACCUUCUCCAUGUCUUUCCACCACUAGGCGGCUUCAUUUCUUGGUUUGGUCUAUCACAUAACGCUGUCAGAUCCACUCUUGUCUUUACAUUAUCCUUUGACUUAUCAGGAAUGUCCAUAAUUGUUGCCCAAAGUGCCUCGGCGACAUUCUUUUCAGUGUACAUCAAGUCAAUGUUGUGUGGAAGGAGUGGGUCAUCAUAAUAGGGGAGCCGAGUCAAGCCCGACUUAUGUGUCCACAUAUGCUGCUCACCAUAUCCCACAAAUACACCUUCUGGAUUGGCCACGAGCCCAUCUAUUUGUUGACGAAUUUCGGCACCAGUCAUCAUUGCAGGUGGUUGGUCUGUCACUACAACACCUUUCGUAAAGUUAUUGAUGUCUAGGCGGAAUGGAUGGUUAGGAGGGAGAAAUUGUUGAUGUUUAUCGAACAACGAAUAUUUGCCACCCUUUUUCAACCAAAUGAACUUAAGAGCUUCCUUACAAACUAGGCAUGGGAACUUACUGUGAACACAAUAGACACAGAAUAGCCCAUACGCCGGUAAGUCAUGCAUGGCGUACUAGUACCAAACAUGCAUUUUGAAGUUUUUCUUCGUAGCUCGGUUAUACGUCCAUACCCCUUCCUCCCAAGCAUGUACGAUUCAUCAAUCAAAGGCUCCAUGUACACGCCCAUUUUAUUCCCCGGGUGUCCGAGAAUUAUCAACGACACAAAUAUGUUCUGCCUUUAAAAGCAUACACCGGGGGGAGAUUGAUUGGGAUAACAAACACGGGCCAACAUGUGUAUGGGGCAGCGCUCAUUCCAUAGGGAUUGAACCCAUCUGUGGCCAGCGCAACACGUACAUUAUGAGCCUCUUCAGCUUUCUCGCGGUAAAUGGCAUCAAAGUGUUUCCAUGCUUCACCAUCGGAUGUGUGCACCAUCUUAUCAUGAUUGUAUCGUUUGCCAUUUUUGUGCCAUGUCAUCUGUUUCGCGGAUUCCUCAGUCAUGUAUAGACGCUGGAUCCUCGGUGUGAACGGAAGGUGGUGUAGGAUUGUCACGGGGAUGUCGAGCUGCCUAUCAUGUCCAUCACCAAAGUCUACCUCCAUGAACCUAGACGAUUUACACUUCGGACAGUACUUUGCUUCCGUGUAUUCUUUCCUAAAUAGCACGCAGUCCUUCGGACAAGCAUGUAUCUGCUCAUAUGUCAUCUUGAGUGCACGGAGGAGUUUCUGUGUGUUGGGGACCUUCGGCAUCCGAAGGUCCUCAAAAACGGGAUUUAACAGUAUUUCUGGAAGUAUAAUGUGUGAGCAGGUACCUUCAGACUCAAGUCGGUAUCACGGCAGGAGAAGACCCGGAUAAUACGAAGGUCUUGAUACAACGCCGAAGAUGUUAGCAGGAAAGCUUCGGCAUGGUUGCAGAAAAUGAAACCGACUUAAAGAUGAAAAGGCUAUUCAGACCUCGAUAGAUUACUAUAGAAUUAUUAUCAAAUGUAAAGGGCAUGAAUGUAAUUUUGUAUGGGCUGUGUCCCGUGCCUAUAAAUAGGUGAACAGAACCCCCGUACUGUUCACGCUGACUUGGCAUUCGCUUUUUGCGUCACGCUUGUACUGUCAUCUCCUUCCGAUUGAAGGUACACUUGUAAUUCAACGAUAUUUCUGUUUAUGUCUGAUAAUAAUAUAUAAUUGUUCAUAUUGUCUUUUAUGUUCUUUACAUUUCAUUCUUCGUCAUUGCUUAAUGAAUUUAUGAAGGUACGUCCUUCAUAACCUUCGUCCGUAAACCAUUAUAUCCUAAGGGAAAUAAUGUUUCGGAGGGCGAAGGACUUUAACGAUUAACAUUUUCUAUGUUGCCUUGUUCUUAACUCAUAGCACUUGAGAACAAGUCCCCAACAUUGGCGCCCACCUCCGGUGAACUCACUUCCACUCUUUGAAGUUUUUUGAACACCUUCGGCGAUCAUAAAUCUUCGUUAUGGCGCCGAAGAAAGCUUCAGCGACUGGGGCUGCAGCUCUGCAACCACUGGACCACAAUCAGGAGACAGUUUCCCUGCGGGAGGCCCGAAGCCAGAAAAGGAAGGCUGUCAGUCCGACACCACCAGAGGACGAGAUAGAUCAAGAAAUCAGAGAUAUGGAGAUGCUUCAUCAACAAGUACAGAGGAAGAAAGAAAAGAUGGCCAGGCUAGCUGAACUGCAGAGGCAGAUAGACGAAGCCUCUGAAGAAGUUCGUCAUCUUGCUCAGGAUGAGCAACACCGAAGGCCUCAGCACCAAGACCUUCAUCAGGAGGGUUUUCCCAACGAAGAUGACUGGUAUGACAAUUUCCAUCAUGGGAAUUUUGUUUUUGAUGAUGCUUCUCCUCUGUCCGCUGAGCUGCAGGCUACACCUUGGCCUCCGUCCUACAAGCCGCCUCAGCUUCCCGUAUUCGAUGGUCACUCAGACCCGAAGCAGUUUUUGAUGAGCUACGAAGCAACAGUAUCUUCGUAUGGUGGCAAUGCUUCAGUCAUGGCCAAAUCUUUCGUUAUGGCUGUCAGAAGUGUUGCUCAAACCUGGUAUUCCUCCCUUCGACCAGGAACGAUCACUUCAUGGCAGAAGCUGAAGGACUUGUUGUUAACUAGCUUUCAAGGAUUUCAGACGAAGCCGGUCACUGCUCAGGCUCUGUUCCAGUGCACCCAGGAUCACGAAGAAUACCUUCAGGCGUAUGUCCGAAGGUUCUUGCGUUUGAGGGCACAGGCACCAACGGUGCCCAAUGAAAUUGUCAUCGAGGCCAUGAUCAAGGGGCUUCGGCCAGGACCGUCAGCUCAGUACUUCGCCAGGAAGCCUCCUCAAACUUUGGAGAAGCUGCUCCAGAAGAUGGACGAGUACAUUCGGGCCGAUAAUGAUUUUCGCCAAAGAAGGGAGGAGGCUUUCAGGUUUUCUGAAAUGACCAGGGGCUUCGGAGGGAGGUUCUACCCGAGGCACGUGAGAUCAAUUCAUAACUCUACACAAAAAUGAUGAUAGAGGAAGCCAACAGCAAAGGCCACAAUGCUCCUCACAGGCUUCGGGGCAACAGCAAAGCUCCUUCCGACCACCAGCUCCAAGAGGCAGAGGCGCCAGGGGCUUUGGAGGAAGAUUUGGAGAUCAACCGAGAAGAAUCUUUUGCUUAUUCUGCGGUGAGAACAAAGGCCAUACUACCAGGAUGUGCCAUGUUACUAUUCAGAAGCAAAAGGAAAUAGCUGAAGCCGCAGCACAACAAGCUCAGCCGAAGCAGGUCAUGCAUACAACUUCGUAUCAUUCGCCCUACAUCCCAGAAUAUGUGGGCAACCAUCCUGCAGUUUCUGUUGCUUCGGCAAGUCAGCCUCAAGCUUCCUGGCAACAGCCUCCGCCUCCACCUCCGUUGCAACAAGGCCAGCAACCAGAAGGGAGCCAGUAUGCUCCACACCAGAGGGACUUCAGAGAGCAGUCCGAAGCUCGUACAGUCAAUAGCACUGUGCCAGAGUCAAAGCACAUCUAUUGACGAAUAUCCUACCUUAAUAGCAAUCUUUUUCAUUCAGUUUUAUUUUCUGUAAUAAAGGACAUUGUUUAGGUUUCAUGUAAUUAGUUUCGUUGAUUCCUACAAGAAAAAUAUGUUUUCCUCACAGGCUUAAAUUGAUUGAAGUUCAAAGACUUGUGAUAAAAAAAAGGACCUUCGAACUAUCGAAAAUUCUUCGAAGCAACAAAAAGUCGUUCUAAGGAACGCAGAGUAAGUUUGCCGAAGUCACAAAAAGUCGUUCCAAAGGGAGCGCAGUGUAAGUUUUCUGCUCCAAAGUCGUUCCAAAGGGAAUGCAGAGCAUACAGCGAAAAGUCAACGCUGAUACCGCCUAAGUAAAAGGCGAAGCGCGAAAAGUCAACGCGAAUACCGCUGAAAGUAAAAGGCGAAGAAGCUCCUAAGGGAGGCUUACAGCGAAAAAUAAACGCUGAUUCCGCUGAAGUAAAAGGCGAAGAAGCUCCUAAGGGAGGCUUAUAAAAGAUGUGUUUUAUUGCAGGGAUGCGUAUGUAUCUUCGGAAUAAACGUCAUCUCACAUAACAUAACAUCAUCGCAUCAUUUCGCAUAGCAUAAGCAUCAUACAUCAUUUUGCACAUGGCACAAGAGGUGGACACAUUAUUAAUCUACAGAAGAACGCUUUGAAAAAAGGGAGAAAUCAAAGUCACAAAAAGAUACAUCAUUGAUCUUCGGAAGUGUAUCUUCGGAAGUGUAGCUUCGGAAAAUAUCUUCACGAAGCCUGGAUAUUAAUCAUCAGAACAUUGGAUAUUGUUGUGACAAAGAAAAAUUCUUCUUCACGAAGCAUGAAAAGAAGGGAAGGUGUUUUUUCGUCAAAGACUCAAAAGUGGUACGUGUAAAGUUUCAUGCAUCGUAAAGAAUUGACUAACAAAAAUAGGUAUAUUACAUUUGGGGUUACAAAAUGUUACAGUAUAUUACAUUUCAGAAAGUUUUCACAAAAAUACUUAAUCUUCUCUCAAAACGACUUCUGCAGCCUCGUUCAGGAGCCGAUUGACGACUUCGUCCAUAAUAUCUUCAGCCAUCUUUUUAAUUUCGUCGUCUCCUUUCGGCUGAGGGCCCGAAGACGCUUUAGCACGAUCUGAAGUAAGACAGCAUGCGGCUACAUUGCUAUUACAAAUCGCAAACAAAUCUUAAAGCCUAAGAUUACAACACGAUAAAAACUAUUAGUUAAUACCUAAUUGACCUUCGGCCUCUGCGCUCUUUUCAGCAGCCUCAGCCACUUCUCUAGCAUCGUGAAUGCCCUUUUCACUUCUUCGAAUAAUUUCUCCGGCCAUUUCUCAGCCACCAUUAUCCCAGAUAUCGGUAAAACAUUUUCCACCAAUUAUACUAGCUUCGGCCGAAGGAUCUCUUGCAUCUUCAAAGGGCAAAGCAGCUUCGGAUUGUGCUAAAAUUUUUACAUGUUCGCAGCCCUUCUUCUCUAAGAUGGUGGCAAUCCCUCUGGCACCAGAGAAGGCACAUAUAUCUCCUCGGCUAUUUAAAAUUUCUUCGAAGGCUUCAGCUUCGUGGUCGAUCCAUUCGAUGACACCUUCGGGAUUGCUUCUCGAAAAGUUUUCCUCACUUGAGAAUGCGCCGACCUUGGCGAAGCUAGCCUUUAGCUUCUUAACACAAUCUAUAGAUUUAUUAUAGCAUCUCUUUUUGGACGAACGAAGCUCUUCAACAGUCACUUCUAGGUGAUCUGCCCAUUGAUCGCUGAGUUCACGCUUUGUUUCUUCAAGUAUGCGUUCUUCCUUGGCUCUGGCCAGUUGUUUCCGAAGAUCUUCAAUUUCGCGCUUCUGAGCUUCAGCUUGACCUUUAAAAGCAGCUUCGUCUUCCUUUAUUUUAUUUAUCAAUGAGUAUAAUAUUUUAUCUUUUUCGAGACCUUCGUUCCUCAGUUCAAUUACUUCGGAACGAAGGUUGCUCAGGGCUAUAGUACACCCUUCGUCUUCAGCAUCUUUCUGUGCCCUGAGGGCAUUGCUAAGUAUCAGGCCCUGCAAAGAGAAAUAUGUGUGCGUCAAUAGGUUUAAACAAACGAAAAAUACAAGGAUUUCAUUUCUCGCACCUUUAAGCUAUUGUAAGCCAGGCUGUCGGCCAGAUCGUUCUUCGACAGCACCGAGAGCCCGUCUUCUAAAGUUGGGAAUCCGAAGCUCUUGCUCAUCUCCCGACAGACAGAAAUUUCCUUGCUAUCGGGGAGACAAUACAAGAAGUCUUCUUCUCCACUGCCAUUGAAUAUUAACGCCCCCUUUGGAUAUUUCAGUUUUUGGGCGUAGUGCUGGGCCUCUUGCUCUUCUUUUUCUGAUAGUUUUUUCCCCGAAGCAUGGCGAACAAUAUAAUCACGAACUUUGGGGGAUGCUUCGGGGGCAAUGGCACCGGUUUCUUCAACAAAAGUUGGCUUUGUUAUUUUUUCUGCCUCACUUUCCAAGGAUUUUAUCUUUGCAGGCUCUGAGGGCCCAGCUUCGGCUUUAGUCUCUUGCCCUGAAGCUUUAGAUCCAGAAAUUUCAGUUGUUUCAGGAAUGACAGCAGCCCUCUUCGGAGGUGUGCUUGAAGAUUUGAUCGUUUCCAGUACAUCUAGCACAUUAGCCAUUCUCUUUCUUUUCGGAGUCACUGCUGGCACUUUCACUAUCUCAAUGUUUGCUGCAGGACUCAAAACUUCUGAUGUUUUGGAUCCCUCAGUUGAUUCUUUUACCUUUUCCAUUUUUUCUGUGGACGGCGCUUCGGCUUUCUCUUUCGUUUCUGAUAACAAAAUUUUUGAUUGUUCCAAUUCUAUCUUUGUUGGCACUUCGGCCGUUUCUGCGACUUCUGGCAGCAAGGUUGGCUCGGUUGGUUUUUCAGCUUCGGUGGCCGAAGAAGUUUCUCCGGUAAACUCAGGCACCGAAGCUGGUUCAAUAUAGCGCGGCCGAUGCGUAAGGACCUUUAUCUUCUUUCUUUUCGGUUCUGGCUCGCUAGGAGCAGUUGCAGCUUCUUCUUUUGCAGAGGUUGUGUUUUUUCUCUUCUGCCUUCGAAUGGGAUAGCAAUAGUCAGGGUAGACAAACCCGAUUGCAUCAAAUACCCGAUUCAGCCUCUUCUUUUUUCGGCCUCCGAAGGCUGCUGACAUUGCAGUAUCUUCGGCCUUCGAAUAGGUCCCAAGCAGCUCAUCACUUAAAUUUUCAAUGCUUUUUAACCAGUCAUCAUCUGGUUCAACGAAUUUAUCUCCAAACUUAAAAGUGUACUUCAACCUGAUAAGUCCACCUUCGUCGGCCUCUUUUAUGGUUUCUUGUGGCAUUUCCCAUUUCUCCGCAAGUGGCCAUACCCUGAAGGCGAUAUGCUCUUGUACUAAGUCCCUCGUUCCAAUAAAAGAACAGAUAACACCGAAGGCCCUCUGGCAUUCUUCGGCAGCCUCACUCAUUUCAACCUUCGGCCUCCGAAGGCCGAAGCUUUGCCAAAUAGGGCGCAUAAUUAUACCUUUGAUAUCUUCUCGCGCUGUCAGAUCAUUCUUCACAUAAAACCAUUCUGUCAUCCAGUCGCCGGGCCAUCUCUUCCGAAAGGUCGGCACGGGACAGCUUGACCCGGACCGAGAAACGAAAUUGUAGCAGCCAAAAUUAUUGUGAUACUGUUCCUUACCCCAAGGUUUUGUUUCGUAUGAUAAUUCGUGUAUAUUGCAGAAACUUUUUGCAUCAGGCUUCAGACCUUGGCUUCUCACGGCCCACACGAAGAUAUUUAGCCUUAUAAUUGCCUCAGGGGUAAGUUGAUGGAGAUAGACUUCGAAUAUUUUCAGUACCUCCACAACGAAGCUGCUCAAGGGAAAUCGCAGUCCAGCUUUCAAAAAGCUUCGGUACACUACGACUUCAUUCUCUUCAGGGUGUGGGCAAGUUUUUUCCCCUUCGUCGGCCCUCACAAUGGACAAAUCCCGGAAAUACCUUCCUCUCAUGUUGACAAGAUGAUUCUCUUUGAUAGUUGAUUUACCAUAAACUGAAUGGCUUGGUCGCCAGGGACGAUCUUCGGAGUCCUCACCACCACUGUCCACAUCAUAGCUGUCACUGUCACCAGUAUCUUCAGACAAACCUUCCAGAAUCUCCUUGGUAAUUUUUUCUGUAUUGGUCUUUGACAUCGCUAUAAGAAACCCCAAGUUUUUCUCUUCGUCAAGGCUCAGCUUCAUCUCAGCAACAGUCUUCUUAUCUUCAGACAUCUUCGGAGACGCUAAAAAACUAUUUUCAAAGCCGAAGCUUCAAAACUAAAAGCUUAGCAAAUCGCAGUGCACAAGAGCUAAAAAUUGAGUGAGCGGGAGUAGUUGGCCAGAAAGCGUGUCAAAUGAGUUUGCGGUAUGGCCGUAUUUAUACGCCAAGAGCGUUGAAAAUUCAAAGACCCCGCUUGUCAGUGAAUGUUGCUAUUCUAGCAAAGGGAAGGUGUUUUUUCGGACCUUCGGCGUAAAGCCUUCGUCCAUGUCGCAAUCUAAAUUCGUUAUUUUAAAACAAAUUAAUAUUGCGAGGGGCUACUGUUGGGGACCUUCGGCAUCCGAAGGUCCUCAAAAACGGGAUUUAACAGUAUUUCUGGAAGUAUAAUGUGUGAGCAGGUACCUUCGGACUCAAGUCGGUAUCACGGCAGGAGAAGACCCGGAUAAUACGAAGGUCUUGAUACAACGCCGAAGAUGUUAGCAGGAAAGCUUCGGCAUGGUUGCAGAAAAUAAAACCGACUUAAAGAUGAAAAGGCUAUUCAGACCUCGAUAGAUUAUAUAGAAUUAUUAUCAAAUGUAAAGGGCAUGAAUGUAAUUUUGUAUGGGCUGUGUCCCGUGCCUAUAAAUAGGUGAACAGAACCCCCGUACUGUUCACGCUGACUUGGCAUUCGCUUUUUGCGUCACGCUUGUACUGUCAUCUCCUUCCGAUUGAAGGUACACUUGUAAUUCAACGAUAUUUCUAUUUAUGUCUGAUAAUAAUAUAUAAUUGUUCAUAUUGUCUUUUAUAUUCUUUACAUUUCAUUCUUCGUCAUUGCUUAAUGAAUUUAUGAAGGUACGUCCUUCAUAACCUUCGUCCGUAAACCAUUAUAUCCUAAGGGAAAUAAUGUUUCGGAGGGCGAAGGACUUUAACGAUUAACAUUUUCUAUGUUGCCUUGUUCUUAACUCAUAGCACUUGAGAACAAGUCCCCAACACUGUGCCUCAUACAUGCUCUUUGGUAGAACGUGAUCCUCCGGAAGCAGGCUACCAAUAACUGUCAACAAGCAAUCGAAUGCGUCUUGACUCAUGUUAUACUGCGACUUGAACGCUAUUACAUGCCCAAUGGCAUCCAGUUGAGAAACCUUUGUCUGGCUGUGAAGGGGCUUCUGUGCCACGUCAAACAUGUCGUAGAACGCCUUUGCAAUCGGCUCUAGCUCGUCCUCCAUACAUCCUCCGACGAACUAUGCCUCAUGAUAGUCGUUCAACAUAUCUGCUACCCCCGCAUCAGCAUCAUAAUCCUCGACGUGUUGUCUCUGAAAGGGAAAUAAGCUUACACCUUUUCCUAAAUGAUUUUGGUGGUUGAAUUGCCCAACACAAAUAAUUGGACUAACUAGUUUGCUCUAGGUUAUAAGUUCUAUAGGUGCCAAAGGUUCAACACAUACCAAUAAAAAGUCCAAGAAAGGGUUCAAAUAAAAAGAGCAAAAGACAACCGAAGGCUGCCCUGGUCUGGCGCACUGGACUGUCCGAUGUGCCACCGGACAGUGUCCGGUGCACCAGAGAGAUUCACUCCAAACUUGCCACCUUCGGGAAUUUGGGAAGCCACUCCGCUAUAAUUCACCGGACUGUCCGGUGUGCCAAGCGGAGCAACGGUCGCCAACGCAAUGGUCGAGUUCAACGGUCGGCUGACAACGCUACAGUGCGCGGACUACGCGCGUAGAAGUCAGAGAAGGCGCAGAUGGCGCACCGGACAGUGAAGAGGACCUGUCUGGUGCACCAUCGGACUGUCCGGUGGCCCACAUGUCAGAAACUCCAACGGUCGAACCCUAACGGUUGGGUGACGUGGCUGGCGCACCGGACAGUGUCCGGUGGCGCACCGGACUGUCCGGUGCGCCCAUCGACAGCAGAGUUCCCCAACGACCACUUUGGUGGUUGGGGCUAUAAAUACCCCCCAACCACCACACUUCGAUGCAUCCAAGUUUUCAGCCAUCAAACCUCAUACAAGAGCUCUAGACUUCAUUCCAAGACACAAACAAAGAGAUCAAAUCCUCUCCCAAGUCUGGAAUCACUCCAAACAAAUUAGUGACUAGAGAGAGAGAGACUUUUGUGUUCUUUUAAGCUCUUGUGCUUGGAUCGCUUUUCUUCUUCCUCCUUUCUUGUUCUCAACUCAAUUGUAAUCAAAGCAAGAGACACCAAGUUGUGGUGGUCCUUGUAGUGGACUAAGUGUCCCGUUUGAUUGAAGAGAAAAGCUCACUCGGUCUAGGUGACCGUUUGAGAGAGGGAAAGGGUUGAAAGAGACCCGAUCUUUGUGACCACCUCAACGGGGAGUAGGUUUGCAAGAACCGAACCUCGGUAAAACAAAUCACCGUGUUCAUCUGUUUUAUUUCUUUGUUGAUUUGUUUUCCCUUUCUUUCGGACUUGAUUAUAUUUCUAACGCUAACCCUUGCUUGUAGUUGUGCUUAAACUUUAUAAAUUUCAGAUUUGCCUAUUCACCCCCCUCUAGGCGACUUUCAAUUGGUAUCAGAGCCCGGUACUUCAUUAGAGCCUAACCACUCGAUGUCAUGUCGGGAGCUCACGCCAAGAAGGAGAUGGUGACCGGCGAGAAGCCCGCCACAAGCCACGGGAAGGCUCCAUCGGGAGAGUCCGGCAACAAAAGGGAGGAAUCACCUCCCCACGUCAAGUCGCACCGGAGUGGUGACCAGAAGAAGAAAAUGAAGAAAGUGUUCUACUGUGAGACCGAUUCUUCGUCGCCAUCCACCUCCACGUCCGACGCGCCGUCCGUCACUUCUAAGCGCCAUGAGCGCAAGAAGUUUAGUAAGAUCUCCUUACGCUAUCCUCGUAUUUCCAAAUGCACUCCUUUACUUUCCGUCCCACUAGGCAAACCACCGGUUUUUGACGGUGAACAUUAUUGUAUGUGGAGUGAUAAAAUGAGGCACCAUCUAACCUCACUCCACGCUAGUAUUUGGGACAUUGUUGAGUUUGGUGCGCAGGAACCAUCCGUGGGGGAUGAAGGCUAUGAUUCGGAUGAGGUAGCCCAAAUCCAGCACUUCAACUCCCAAGCCACCACUAUACUCCUCGCCUCUCUAAGUCGAGAGGAGUAUAAUAAGGUGCAAGGGUUGAAGAGCGCCAAAGAGAUUUGGGACGUACUAAAGACCACACACGAAGGAGACGAGGUGACCAAGAUCACCAAGAGCGAAACGAUCGAGGGGGAGCUCGGUCGCUUCAUGCUUCAUCAAGGGGAGGAGCCACAAGCAAUGUACAACCGGCUCUAGACCUUGGUGAACCAAGUGCGCAACCUCAGGAGCACCAAAUGGGAUGACCAUGAAAUGGUCAAGGUUAUUCUAAGAUCACUUAUAUUUCUUAAUCCUACACAAGUUCAAUUAAUUCGUGGUGAUCCUAGAUACAAGAUAAUGUCUCCCGAGGAGGUUAUAGGAAAAUUUGUGAGCUUUGAAUUGAUGAUCAAAGGCUCCAAGAAAAUCAUCGAGCAAGGCGCCUCCUCCACACCCGAAAUGCAACUCGUCGCAUUCAAGGCAACAGAGGAGAAGAAAGAAGAGUCUACUUCAAGUAGACUUCCCAUCGACGCCUCCAAGCUCGACAACGAGGAAAUGGCGCUCAUCAUCAGGAGCUUUCGCCAAAUCCUCAAGCAAAGGAGGGGGAAGGACUACAAGCCCCGCUCCAAGAAAGUUUGCUACAAGUGUGGUAAGCCCGGACAUUUCAUUGCUAAAUGUCCAUUAUCAAGUGAUAGUGACAGGGGCGAUGACAAGAAGGGGAGAAGGAAGGAGAAGAAGAAAUAUUACAAGAAGAAGGGCGGCGAUGCCCAUGUAUGCCACGAGUGGGACUCCGAUGAGAGCUCCACCGACUCCUCCUCCGACGAGAACGCCGCAAACAUCGCCAUCAACAAGGGUCUUCUCCUUCCCAACGUCGAUCACAAGUGCCUCAUGGCAAAGGACGACAAAAAGAAGAAGGUAAAAUCUAGAGCUUCCACUAAAUAUGCAACAUCUAGUGAUGAGGCUAGCUCUAGUGAUGAUGAGGAUGAUUUGAUCACCCUUUUUGCCAACUUAAACAUUCAACAAAAAGACAAAUUGAAUGAAUCGAUUAGUGUUAUUCAUGAGAAGGAUGAACUCUUGGAUAGCCAAGAGGACUUCCUUAUUAAAGAAAAUAAGAAGCAUGUUAAAGUUAAAAAUGCUUAUGCUCAGGAGAUAGAAAAAUGUGAAAAAUUAACUAGUGAUCUAAGCACUUGCCAUGACACUAUUUUCAACCUUAGAUUUGAAAAUGACAAAUUGAUUGCUAAGGUUGAGAAAUUAAAUGUUAGUGAUGAUUCUCUUGUCAACCUUAGAAAUGAUAAUGCUAAUUUGAUUGCUAAGGUUGACAAAUUGAAUGCAUCUCUCUCUAGCCUUAAAAUUGAGAAUGAAAAAUUAAUUGCUAAGGCUAAAGAUUUAAAUGUUUGCAAUGUUUCUAUUUCCAAUCUUAGAGAUGAGAACACUAUUUUACAUGCUAAGAUUGUUGAAUUAAAUACUUGCAAACCCUCAACAUCUACCGUUGAACAUGUUACUAUUUGCACUAGAUGUAGAGAUGUUAAUAUUGAUGCUAUUCAUGAUCACAUUGCUAUGAUUAAACAACAAAAUGAUCAUAUAGCAAAAUUAGAUGCUAAAAUUGCCGAGCAUGAAUUAGAGAAUGAAAAAUUUAAAUUUGCUCGUAAUAUGCUUUAUGGUGGGAGACGCCCUGGCAUUAAGGAUGGCAUUGGCUUCCAACAGGGAGGCGAUGUCAAACUCAAUGCCCCUAAGAAAUUGUCCAACUUUGUUAAGGGCAAGGCUCCCAUGGUUUAGGAUAACGAGGGUUACAUUUUAUACCCUGACGGUUAUCCCGAACAUAAAAUUAGGAGAAUUCACUCUAGGAAGUCUCACUCUGGCUCUCAUCAUGCUUUUAUGAAUAAGAGUGAGGCAUCUAGUUCUAGGAAAUCCACCCAUGCUAAAUUGCCUAAGAAGAAAACUCCUAUAGCAUCAAACGAACCUAAUUUUUCAUUUAAGACUUUUGAUGCUUCUUAUGUGCUCACUAACAAAUCAGGCAAAAUAGUUGCCAAAUAUGUUGGGGCUAAACACAAGGGAUCAAAGACUUGUGUUUGGGUACCCAAGGUGCUUGUUUCUAAUGUGAAAGGACCCAAGACCAUUUGGGUACCUAAGAACAAGGCCUAAACUUGUUUUGUAGGUUUAUGCAUGCGGGGGCUCAAGUUUGAUCAUCGAUAGCGGGUGCACAAACCACAUGACUGGGGAGAAAAUAAUGUUCUCCUCCUAUGAGAAAAAUCAUGAUCCCCAAAGAGCUAUCACAUUCGGGGAUGGAAAUCAAGGUUUGGUCAAAGGACUUGGUAAAAUUGCUAUAUCCCCUGACCAUUCUAUUUCCAAUGUUUUUCUUGUAGAUUCUUUAGAUUACAACUUGCUUUCUGUUUCUCAAUUAUGCAAAAUGGGUUACAACUGUCUUUUUACGGAUAUAGGUGUUACUGUCUUUAGAAGAAGUGAUGAUUCUGUAGCAUUUAAGGGAGUGUUAGAGGGUUAGCUAUACUUAGUUGAUUUUAAUAGAGCUGAACUCGACACUUGCUUAAUUGCUAAGACUAACAUGGGUUGGCUCUGGCAUCGCCGACUUGCCCACGUUUAAAUGAAGAAUCUCCACAAACUUCUAAAGGGAGAACACAUUUUGGGACUAACAAAUGUUCAUUUUGAGAAAGACAGGGUUUGUAGCGCAUGUCAAGCAGGGGAAGCAAGUUGGUGUUCAUCAUCCACACAAGAACAUAAUGACGACCGACAGACCGCUUGAGCUACUCCACAUGGACCUAUUCGGCCCGAUAGCUUAUAUAAGCAUCAACGGGAGUAAGUAUUGUCUUGUAAUUGUGGAUGAUUAUUCUCGCUUCACUUGGGUGUUAUUUUUGCAGGAAAAAUCUCAAACCCAAGAGACCUUAAAGGGAUUCUUGAGAUGGGCUCAAAAUGAGUUCGGCUUAAGGAUCAAAAAGAUAAGAAGCGACAACGGGACGGAGUUCAAGAACUCUCAAAUAGAAGGCUUCCUUGAGGAUGAGGGCAUCAAGCAUGAGUUCUCUUCUCCCUACACACCACAACAAAAUGGUGUAGUGGAGAGGAAGAAUAGAACUCUACUUGACAUGGCGAGGACCAUGCUUGAUGAGUACAAGACUUCGGACCGGUUUUGGGCGGAAGCAGUCAACACCGCUUGCUACGCCAUCAACCGUCUCUACCUUUGCCGAAUACUCAAGAAGACAUCGUAUGAACUACUCACCGGUAAAAAGCCCAAUGUUUCAUAUUUUAGAGUCUUUGGUAGCAAAUGCUUUAUUCUUGUUAAAAGAGGUAGAAAAUCUAAAUUUGCUCCUAAGGCUGUAGAAGGCUUUUUACUUGGUUAUGAUUCAAACACAAGGGCAUAUAGAGUCUUUAACAAGUCCUCUGGACUAGUUGAGGUUACUUGUGACAUUGUGUUUGAUGAGACUAACGGCUCUCAAGUAGAGCAAGUUGAUCUUGAUGAGCUAGAUGAUGAAGAGGCUCCAUGCGUCGCGCUAAGGAACAUGUCCAUUGGGGAUGUGUGUCCUAAGGAAUCCGAAGAGCCUCCACAAGCACAAGAUCAACCAUCUUCCUCCAUGCAAGCAUCUCCACCAACUCAAGAUGAGGAUCAAGCUCAAGAGGAUGAAAAUGAAGAUCAAGAAGAUGAGCCACCUCAAGAGGAGGGCAAUGAUCAAGGGGGAGAUGCCAAUGAUCAAGACAAGGAAGAUGACGACAGUCCAAGACCACCACACCCAAGAGUCCACCAAGCAAUACAAAGAGAUCACCCCGUGAACUCCAUCCUCGGCGAUAUUCAUAAGGGGGUAACCACUCGAUCUCGUGUUGCUCAUUUUUGUGAACAUUACACCUUUGUAUCUUCUAUUGAGCCAUAUAGGGUGGAAGACACAUUAAGGGAUUCAGAUUGGGUGUUGGCGAUGCAAGAGGAACUCAACAACUUCACGAGGAAUGAGGUAUGACAUUUAGUUCCACGCCCUAAUCAAAAUGUUGUAGGAACCAAGUGGGUCUUCCGCAACAAGCAAGAUGAGCAUGGUGUGGUGACAAGGAACAAAGCCCGACUUGUGGCCAAGGGAUAAUCACAAGUCGAAGGUUUGGAUUUCGGUGAAACCUAUGCACCCGUAGCUAGGCUUGAGUCAAUUUGUAUAUUACUUGCCUAUGCUACUUACCAUGGCUUCAAGCUUUAUCAAAUGGACGUGAAAAGUGCCUUCCUCAAUGGACCAAUCAAGGAAGAAGUCUAUGUUGAGCAACCUCCCGACUUUGAAGAUAGUGAGUACCCUAACCAUGUGUAUAAACUCUCUAAGGCGCUUUAUGGGCUCAAGCAAGCCCCAAGAUCAUGGUAUGAAUGCCUAAGAGAUUUUCUUAUCGCUAAUGGCUUCAAAGUCGGAAAAGCCGAUCCUACUCUCUUUACUAAAACAAUUGCAAAUGAUUUGUUUGUAUGCCAAAUUUAUGUUGAUGAUAUUAUAUUUGGGUCUACUAACAAAUCUACAUUUGAAGAGUUUAGUAGAUAAUGGUACAAAAAUUCGAGAUGUCUAUGAUGGGGGAGUUGAAGUAUUUCUUAGGAUUUCAAGUGAAGCAACUCCAAGAGGGCAUCUUCAUCAGUCAAACGAAGUACAUUCAAGACAUACUCACCAAGUUUGGGAUGAAGGAUGCCAAGCCUAUCAAGACACCCAUGGGAACCAAUGGGCAUCUUGACCUCGACACGAGAGGUAAAUCCAUAGAUCAAAAGGUAUACCGGUCGAUGAUAGGAUCUUUACUCUAUUUAUGUGCAUCUCGACCGGAUAUUAUGCUUUUCAUAUGCAUGUGUGCAAGAUUCCAAGCCGAUCCUAAGGAAGUUCACCUUAGGGUCGUGAAAUGAAUCUUGAGAUAUUUAGUUCAUACUCCUAAGUUUGGCCUUUGGUACCCCAGGGGAUCCACAUUUGAUUUAAUAGGAUAUUUAGAUGCUGAUUGGGCAGGGUGUAAAAUUGAUAGAAAGAGCACAUCAGGGACUUGUUAGUUCUUGGGAAGAUCCCUGGUGUCAUAGGCUUCAAAGAAGCAAAAUUUUGUAUCUCUUUCUACCACCGAAGCCGAGUACAUUACCGCAGGCCAUUGUUGCGCGCAAUUGCUUUGGAUGAGGCAAACCCUUAGGGACUAUGGUUACAAAUUAACCAAAGUUCCGCUCCUAUGUGAUAAUGAGAGUGCAAUCCACAUGGUGGAUAAUCCCGUUGAGCACAACCGCACUAAGCACAUAGCCAUUCGGUAUCACUUUUUGAGGGAUCACCAACAAAAGGGGGAUAUCGAGAUUGUUUAUAUUAACACCAAAGAACAAUUAGCCGAUAUCUUUACCAAUGUUGGGGACUUGUUCUCAAAUGCUAUGAGUUAAGAACAAGGCAACACAAGAAAUGUUAAACGUUAAUGCCCUUCGUCCUUCGAGACAUUAUUUCCCUUAGGAUAUAAUGAUCUUCAGACGAAGGUCAUGAAGGACAUACCUUCAUCAUUGCAAUAUACGAUAAUAAAAGGAGAAUCAUAUAGAAUGUAAGAGACAACAUGAAUAAGUAUGUAAUAUUAUCAGCACAUUUCUAUUUUAUUAUCAUGGACAAAUAGAAAUGAUAUCAAAUUACAAAUGUACCUUCAGCUUGAUGGAAGGUAAAAGUACAAGUGUGACGCACGAUCAAAUACAAGUCAGCGUGAACAGUACGGGAGCACUGUUCAUCUAUUUAUAGGCACGGGACACAGCCCAUGUAAAAUUACACCCAUGCCUUUUACAUUUGCUAAUGACUCUAUAGUGAUCCAUCGAGGUCUAAAUGACCUUUUCCCUUUUAAGUCGGUUCCCUUUUCCGCUGUUAUGCCAAAGCUCCCUUGCGCGUAGCUUCGGCGCUACGUCAACCUUCGUAUUCUUUGUGCUUCUCACACUGUGGUUCUGAUCCGAGUCCGAAGGUACCUGUUCAUGUAUCAUACUCCAGAAAUAAUGUUAAAUCAUGUUUUUGAAGACCUUCGGAAGACGAAGGCCCCCAACAGUAGCCCCUCGCAAUAUUAAUUUGUUAGAAUAACGAAUUCAAAUUGCGAUAUGGACGAAGGCCUUAAGCCAAAAUUCUGAAAAAACACCUUCCCUUUGCUAGAAUAGCAACAGUCGAUGACAGACGGGGCCCUCCAAUUUGGAACGCACUGGGCGUAUAAAUAGGAACUCACCCCGAGCACAUUUGGUACGCUAUCUGCCGCCUGCUUUGCUUGCUCAAUUUUUUAGCUCUUGCCUACCAACGCUUGCUUGGUUUUUUAGACUUUCUAAGCUUCGGCUUUAAGGACACAUUUUCGCCAUUUCCGAAGAGAAGAUGUCUCAAGACAAAAAAGUUGUUGCUGAGACGAAGCUGAGCGAAGAGGAGAAGCUCCAUGAGGAGAAGACUGCUGGAUUUGUUGAAUCAAUAGCAAAGAAAAAUACAGAAAAGAUUACUAAGGAGAUUCUAGAAGGCUUAUCUGAAGAUACUGAUGACAGCGACAGUUAUGAUGCGGAAAGCGGAGGCGAAGACUCCGAAGAUCGGCCCUGGCGACCAAGCAUGCAGUCUUCGGGAAAUCAACCAUCAAACAGAGUCAUCUUGAUAAUAUGAGAGGAAGGUAUUUUCGAUAUUAUUUUUUUGUUCUUAUAUUAACCCAUUCAUUCUUUUCAUAUAGGGUUUAAUACUUAGCAACGCCUUAAGGGCGCAAAAGAAUGUCGAAGACGAGAGUUGCACUAUUGCUCUCAACAACCUUCAAACAGAGGUUAUCAAGCUGAGGAACGAAGCUUUGGAAAAAGAAAAAAUUCUACUUACAUUGGUGGACAAAGUAAAGGGGGAUGAAGCUAACUUCAAGGCUCAAUCUGAAAUCCAAAGGAAUGAGAUUGAAAACCUUCAAAAACAACUGGCCGAAGCCAAAUUGAAAUGCGCUAUUGCCGAAGCUGACCGAGUUGCCAGUGAGUACUAGAAAAAUUAUCUUGAAAAACAGUUGCAGAGCUUCGCUCAUCAAAAGAAAGAUGUUUUGAAAAAUCUGUGGAAUGCGUGAAAAAGAUAAAAACUAGCUUUGCCAACGUUGGCGCAUAUUCAAGCGAAGAUAACUUCAUACGGGGCGACCCCGAAGGCGUAAUCGAGUGGAUCAGCGGUGAGGCCGAAGCCUUUGAAGAGAUUUUGAGUGACCGCGGGGACGUCUGUGCCUUCUCUGGUGCGAGAGGAAUUGCAGCUAUUUUGGAGAAAGCAGGGUGCGAACAUGUUAAAACUUUGGCCCAGGCCGAAGCUGCCUUCUCCACCGAUGAUAUAAAGGACCCCUCGGCCGAAGCAAACUCAAUAGGUGGAAAAAAUUUCACUGAUAUCUGGGAAAACGGUGGCCGAGGGAUGGCCCAUGAAAUUAUAAAGAAAAACGAAAAAGAUAUUCACGACACUCGAGAGUCAAUAAAAGAAGCUGAAAAGGCUGCGGAGCUUGAGAGACGAAUAUGUAUUACUUAAUGGUUUUUAACUUUGUUGUUUAUUUUUGUGACUUUGAACUGAUUUAUGUUUUCUACCUUAGCUGAACUAUCUCCUCCCCCAGCGCCCUUAGAGUCAUUGGCCGACCCAGAGGCAAAGGAAUCAACAGAACUUAUUAACAUGGCCGAAACUAUUGUAGACGAAGUCGUUACCCAACUGCUGACCGAAUUUGCACAUAAAGUUUUGAAGGAAGAAGAGUAGCUAUUGUAAAAACAUUGCUAGAAUAUUAAUGUAACAUUUGCCGGACUAUGCUUGUAAUAUUUGGUGCUCCUAGGUUUUGAAUGUAAUAUAUGAAUGGUUUUGUAAUUCAUUUCUUUGCGAUGCAUGAAACUUUUAUGUACAUACCGUUUUUGAGCCUUCGGCGAAAAAACACCUUCCCUUCUUUUCAUGUUCGUAAAGAAGAGCUUUUAUGCUUCGUAAAAAAUCCUCCAAUCGUCGCAAAAACAUUAAUGCUUCGUCAACAACAGAUUUUUCCUCCACAUCAGAGCUGAUGAAGCUGUAUUUCUUCAAAACUUAUUUUGUGCCUUAGCACAAUUUCACUUUUUUCGAAGCAUUCUUCGAAGGUCAACAUUGUAUCCCCUUCUUGUGCCAUUGAUGCAAUAUGAUGUAUGAUGUUAUGUUAUGUGAAAUGAUGUGAUGAUGUUAUGUUAUGCAAAAUGAUGUUUAUGCCGAAGACACACACUCACACCCCCAUAGUGGAAUACACAAUCUCUUUGCCGCUUAUUUUUCGGCUUCACCGCUUAUUUUUCGGUGUAUCAGCGCUGACUUUUCACUGUAAGUUCUGCAUUCCCUUAGGAACGUCUUUUGAACUUCUUCACCUUCUAUUUCGGCGGUAUUCGCGUUGACUUUUCGCGCUUCGCCUUAUAUUUCGGCGGUAUUUGGCUCUGCAUUCCCUUUGGAAUGACUUUUGAGCAGAAAACUUACACUGCGCUCCCUUAGGAACGACUUUUUGUAGCUUCGGCAAACUUACGCUGCGUUCCUUAGAACGACUUUUUUGUGGCUUCGGUGAUACUUGUAAUGUGAUUUUUAGCCCCGCGUUCCCUUAGGAACGACUUUUGUGCUUCAGUGACUUUUUGAACUUCGUGAGUCUGUGGAGAAGAUAUAUUUCACUAUGGCAAGAACGAAGUUAUUACAAGAAAUCAAGAGAGCUAGGUUUUCAAUAAUUGUUCCUUAUUAAAAAGGAAGUGAUAAUGAAUGUAAAAACUGCUUCAGGGGUAGGAUAUCUCUCAAUAGAUAUGCUUCGAUUCUAGCACAGUACUGUUGGCUGUGCGAGCUUCGGACUCCUCCCUGAAAUCUCGUUGCUGAUGGGUCUGUUGGCUCCCUUCUGGCUGCUGGCCUCGUGAAUAUGCAGGUUGUAGUGGUGGCAGAGGUGGAGGCUGUGGCCAAGAUGCAUGUGGCUGGCUAGCCGAAGCAACAGAAGCUGCAGGAUGGUUACCCACAUACUCUGGUAUGUAGGGUGAGUGAUACGAAGCAGUGUGCAUGACCUGCUUCGGCUGGUUCUGCUGAGCUGCGGCUUCUGCUAAUUCCUUUUGUUUCUGAAUGGUGACAUGGCACAUCCUUGUAGUAUGGCCCUUGUCCUCACCACAGAAUAAGCAAUUUUCCUAGGUUGAUCCCCAAACCUUCCUCCGAAGCCCCUGGCACCUCUGCCUCUUGGAGUUGGCGGCCGAAAAUAGGUUUGUUGCUGCCCCGAAACUUGCGAGGAAUAUUGUGGCUUCUGUUGCUGACUUCCUCUGUCGUCAUUCUGGGUGGAGUGGAUUGAUCUGACAUGCCUUGGGUGGAUUCUUCCUCCGAAGCCCCUGGUCAUCUCAGAGAACCUGUAGGCUUCCUCCCUUCUUUGGCGAAAGUCAUUGUCAGCCCGGAUGUAUUCAUCCAUCUUUUGAAGCAGCUUCUCCAAAGUCUGUGGAGGCUUUCUAGCAAAAUACUGGGCAGUAGGUCCUGGAUGAAGCCCCUUGAUCAUGGCCUCAAUGACAAUUUCAUUGGGCACAGUAGGCACUUGUGCUCUCAGACGCAAGAACCUUCAGACGUAUGCCUGGAGAUACUCCUCAUGAUCUUGCGUGCAUUGAAACAGAGCCUGAGCUGUGACUGGCUUCGUCUGAAAGCCCUGGAAACUUGUCACCAGCAUGUCCUUGAGCUUCUGCCAUGAAGUGAUGGUCCCUGGCCGAAGAGAAGAAUACCACGUUUGAGCCACAUUCUUAACUGCCAUGACGAAGGACUUGGCCAUGACAGCUGCAUUGCCUCCGUAUGAAGAUAUAGUUGCUUCAUAACUCAUCAAAAACUGCUUCGGGUCUGAAUGCCCAUCAUACAUUGGAAGCUGAGGUGGCUUGUAUGAUGGGGGCCACGGGAUAGCCUGCAGUUCUGCUGCCAAGGGAGAAGCAUCAUCAAAAGUAAAGGUAUCAUGAUUAAAAUCAUCAUACCAUCCAUCGUCGUUGAACAAGCCCUCUUGAUGAAGCUCCCUGUGUUGGGGCCUUCGAUCUUGCUCGUCUUGAGCAAGGUGGCGUACUUCUUCAGUGGCUUCGUCAAUCUGCCUUUGAAGGUCAGCUUGUCGGGCCAUCUUCUCCUUCUUCUUUUGCACUUGCUGAUGAAGCAUCUCCAUGUUUCUGAUUUCUUGGUCCAACUCGUCCACCUGGGGUGUUGGACUAGUGGCCUUCCUCUUCUGGCUUCGGGCCUCUCGAAGAGAAAGGGUCUCCUGAUUUGGGUCCAGUGGCUGCAGAGCGGCAGCCCCUAGCGCUGAAACUUUCUUCGGUGGCAUGACGAAGGUCAAUGCUUGCCGAAGGUGGUCGAAAAGAGUUCACCCCACGGUGGGCGCCAAUGUUGGGGACUUGUUCUCAAAUGCUAUGAGUUAGGAACAAGGCAACAUAAGAAAUGUUAAACGUUAAUGCCCUUCGUCCUUCGAGACAUUAUUUCCCUUAGGAUAUAAUGAUCUUCAGACGAAGGUCAUGAAGGACAUACCUUCAUCAUUGCAAUAUACGAUAAUAAAAGGAGAAUCAUAUAGAAUGUAAGAGACAACAUGAAUAAGUAUGUAAUAUUAUCAGCACAUUUCUAUUUUAUUAUCAUGGACAAAUAGAAAUGAUAUCAAAUUACAAAUGUACCUUCAGCUUGAUGGAAGGUAAAAGUACAAGUGUGACACACGAUCAAAUACAAGUCAGCGUGAACAGUACGGGAGCACUGUUCAUCUAUUUAUAGGCACGGGACACAGCCCAUGUAAAAUUACACCCAUGCCCUUUACAUUUGCUAAUGACUCUAUAGUGAUCCAUCGAGGUCUAAAUGGCCUUUUCCCUUUUAAGUCAGUUCCCUUUUCCGCUGUUAUGCCGAAGCUCCCUUGUGCGUAGCUUCAGCGCUACGUCAACCUUCGUAUUCUUUGUGCUUCUCACACUGUGGUUCUGAUCCGAGUCCGAAGGUACCUGUUCAUGUAUCAUACUCCAGAAACAUUGUUAAAUCAUGUUUUUGAGGACCUUCGGAAGACGAAGGCCCCCGACAACCAAGCCACUAGAUGAGAAAACUUUUACCAAUCUUAGGCAUGAGCUAAACAUUCUAGAUUCUAGGAAUUUUGAUUGAUAUUUUGCACACAUAGCUUAUUUCAAUACCUUUGAUCAUAUCUCUUUCAUGUGCUAUGACUAAUGUGGUUUUCAAGUAUAUUUCAUGCUAAGUCAUAGAUUGAAAGGAAAAUGGAGUCUUCGGCGAAGAAAAGGCUUCCACUCCAUCGAAUUAUUCAUCCUUCGCCGACACUCCACAUCGCUCUCCAAUUUGGUAUAAUCUUCACUCCUACAUUAUUUACCAAAGGGGGAGAAAGUUUGAAAAAGGGCUUAUAUUUUCACUCACAAGUAUCCGUUUUUGGCGAUUCAUGCCAAAGGGGGAGAAAGUAUUAGCCCAAAGCAAAAGGACCGCACCACCACCAAUUUCAAAAAUGAAGUCUUUUAAAUUUGUACUAAAAGAAGGUUUUUCAAUUGGUAUCUUAUUUUUGAUAGAAUUUUCAAAUUGGUAUAACCCAUUUCAAAAUUAAUAUCUAAAACUCUCUUGAACAAUAAGAGGAGAAUUUCAUUAAGGGGGAGUUUUGUUUAGUCAAAGGAAAAGCAUUUGAAACAGGGGGAGAAAAUUUCAAAUCUUAAAAAUGCUUCUCAAAAUCUUACUCAUUUACCUUUGACUACUUGCAAAAAGACUUUGAAAAGAAUUUCCAAAAGAGUUUGCAAAAACAAAACAAGUGCUGCAAGCGUGGUCCAAAAUGUUAAAAUAGAAGAAAGCAUCCAUGCAUAUCUUAUAAAAUGUAUAUUGGUUUAAUUCCAAGUAACCUUUGCACUUUCAUUAUGCAAACUAGUUCAAUUCUGCAAUUAUAUAUUUGCUUUGGUUUGUGUUGGCAUCAAUCAUCAAAAAGGGGGAGAUUGAAAGGGAAAUAGGCUUACACCUUUUCCUAAAUGGUUUUGGUGGUUGAAUUGCCCAACGCAAAUAAUUGGACUAACUAGUUUGCUCUAGAUUAUAAGUUCUACAUGUGCCAGAGGUUCAACACAAACCAAUAAAAAGUCCAAGAAAGGGUUCAAAUAAAAAGAGCAAAAGACAACCGAAUGCUGCCCUGGUCUGGCGCACCGGACAGUGUCCGGUGCACCAGGGAGAUUCACUCCAAACUUGCCACCUUUGGGAAUUUGGGAAGCCACUCCGCUAUAAUUCACCGGACUGUCCGGUGUAGCACCGGACUGUCCAGUGUGCCAAGCGGAGCAACGGUCGUUAGCGCAACGGUCGAGUUGAACGGUCGGCUCACAACGCUACAGUGCGCGUACUGCGCGCGCAGAAGUUAGAGCAGGUGCAGAUGGCGCAUCGGACAGUGAACAGGACCUGUCCGGUGCACCACCGGACUAUCCGGUGGCCCACAUGUCAGAAGCUCCAACGGUCGAACCCUAACGGUUGGGUGACGUGGCUGGCGCACCGGACAGUGGCCGGUGGCGCACCGGACUGUCCGGUGCGCCCAUCGACAGUAGAGUUCCCCAACGGCCACUUUGGUGGUUGGGGCUAUAAAUACCCCCCAACCACCACACUUCAAUGCAUCCAAGUUUUCAGCCAUCAAACCUCAUACAAGAGCUCUAUACUUCAUUCCAAGACACAAACAAAGAGAUCAAAUCCUCUCCCAAGUCCGGAAUCACUUCAAACAAAUUAGUGACUAGAGAGAGAGACUUUUGUGUUCUUUUGAGCUCUUGCGCUUGGAUCGCUUUUCUUCUUCCUCCUUUCUUGUUCUCAACUCAAUUGUAAUCAAAGCAAGAGACACCAAGUUGUGGUGGUCCUUGUAGUGGACUAAGUGUCCUGUUUGAUUGAAGAGAAAAGCUCACUCAGUCUAGGUGACCGUUUGAGAGAGGGAAAGGGUUGAAAGAGACCCGGUCUUUGUGACCACCUCAACGGGGAGUAGGUUUGCAAGAACCGAACCUCGGUAAAACAAAUCAUCGUGUUCAUUCGUUUUAUUUCUUUGUUGAUUUGUUUUCCCUCUCUUUCGGACUCGAUUAUAUUUUUAACGCUAACCCCGACUUGUUGUUGUGCUUAAACUUUAUAAAUUUCAGAUUUGCCUAUUCACCCCCCCUUUAGGUGACUUUUAGUCUCAACACCUCCUCUCUCGUACGAUGCGCUUUACCAUGGAAGAUCCACCGAGUAUAGUCUGGCGUAAAUCUGAUCUUCCAAAUAUGUUCUACCAUGGCCUUCUUUGAUUUUCUUUUCCGGUUGGCACAUUUGCUGCACGGGCAUGGGACUAGACUCGCUCCUUUAGCAGCUUUGCCAUAUGCCCGUUCCACAAAAGCAUCGGUCUUUCUAAUCCAUUCAGGGGUGACAUCAUUCCUACUUACACGGCAUGUGUACAUCCACUCACGGUCUUCCAUCCUCUAACAUAUGUAACCGAGUAUAGUUUAAUAUAAACAUGUAAUGCAUGUACGCUAUGUUCCUACCUUAUAAUAGGUGAGUAUAGUUCUUAAUCUCACUCGCGGUUGCGUAGACGAAGUUAGUUUCCAUGCUCUACUUCGAUCCAAGACAGAGUUCCGGCAGCACCUCCCCGUUGUUCUCCGGAUACACGCCCUAGCAGGUAGAAUGUACUGUCCGGAGAUCAACAUGGAGGUGAAACCGAAACUCUGUCUCGGACCGGAGUAGAGCAUGGAAACUAAUACCAGGGCGACGGUGGAGUAGGGAUAGCGGGGCUGUGGCGGGUCGGUGCAGUGGCGACGUGUCGCAGUGCAGGUUCUAGUGUGGCGGCAAGGAAUACCUCUGCAAAAAAAAAUUAACACAAGUUUAUCAACAAAAAAAUCGGCAGGACUUCCCCUGCACGAGGAGGUUGCAAAAAACCAGCAAAUAAAACUAACAGCACGAUGGCUGACAUCCACACAUAUACUAGCAAAAAAUAGACUUGCGUGUGUUAUUUACAAUUGUGUUAGUUACACACAAUCUAUUGAUGCCAUAUUUGUUGUGUACUAGCGAUUGGCAAGAAGAAUCAACUUUUAGGCACUAAAACAUCUAGUGGGUUCAAAUUAAAGAACUUCUUCUAUUAAUUACAGAACCACCCCAUCGGCCGACCAGGAUCCAAAUUAAAGAACUUCUUCUUCUAUUAAUUAUAGUAUAUUAUAAUUACCAAGUCUCUUCUUAUAUUUACAUGUUCAUUUGCUUGCUUCUUGCAUAACAUAACGGCGAUCGAUGAUGACCAUCGUUAGUUUUAGUCCUACGUGUAUUUGAUUCAAUCCCUCCAUGUUCAUAGUAUAAAUUCAACCAAACCUAAAUAAGUUUCAGUCAGCUUGAUCUUAAAAUUGCAUCAUACACACACAUACAUAGUCUUACUAGAAGUAAGCAAUUUCUUUUAAACUAAUUUCCAGCCAACAUUGAUGAAUGAACUAGAAUGUGGCUAUAACCGAGACCUGUGUGGGUGGUGCUGGAGAUGGGGACGUUGGGCCGAGGCUCACCGGCGUCGAGGCCUGUCCGAAGAUGGCCGACCGCCAGGCCGGGGACGGGGCUCGUUGGAGAUGGCCGGGUCGAGCGACGGUGGGGACGUCGGAGGCAGGGAGGAUGGCCGGCACGGUGUCCGGAGCCGGAGGGGAUGACCGGAGAGGAGGAUGGUCGGCGCUUGCUCCGAUGGCGUUGGCGGCGAGUGGCGUUGGCGGAGGGGACGACUGGUUAGGGCUAUGUACACAGACUUUGCCGAGUGCCAUAUCACGGGCACUCGGCAAAGAUUUUUUUUAAAUUUAAAAAUAAACUUUGCCGAGUGUCACAGAUCACUGACAGGCACUUGGCAAAGAUUGUUUUAAUUUUUUUAAAAAAACUUUACAGAGUGUCCCACGGCAGGCACUCGACAAAGAAUGCUUUACUGACUGCCUUAUUUUGACACUCGACAAAGAAUUCUUUGCCAAGUGCCCGAUAAAAAGCACUUGGCAAAGCACCGAGCACUCGGCAAAGAGCCGGAUUCCGGUGUGGUUGUUUCAUGGAAGUUGUAAGUAGACCAUCUUAACAAGGUCAACAAUAGAAGUACAACUCACAACAUUAGAUACUGCCAAAGUUAAUGUUGAGAGGCUUCGUGAACUCCUUAUGGAUUUACUAGUAGUUGAAAAACCAAUACUGGUUAUCUAUAUGAGCUAUAAUAAUUAAACAUUGGUAAUCAAAGUGAACAAUUCUUAGGUUAACAUGAAGACUACAAAGCAUGUCAAGAACGGUUGAAACUGUUAAAACACUAAGAAACUCUAGAUUAAUUGUGUUGGACUAUGUCCAUACUUCUAAGAAUUUGGUAUGCCAGUUUAUAGAAGAUUUGUCACAUAAUGUGAUAGAUGGUGCAUCGAGAAAGAUGGACUUGAGACCCACUUAAUGCCAUUCCAUAGUAGUAGCAUUUUCUAUGUGAUUGGAGAUCUCAUGAAGUAAAAUGGUGAAAUAAGCUAGAGAAUGACUGAUGGAGAGACUCCUUAAAUAAAAUCUAGGUAAUUUCAUAUGAACAUUUCUCCUUCGAUGUACGAUAGGCUAACUAAAAUCUUAAUAUGAUUUGAGUGACAUAUCUAAGCAGGGAUGUUAUCUUAUAGAACAUCCUAUAAGGAACACACCUAUAUGACUUUGACUACUAAUCACAGUCUAUGAUAUGUGGGAAAUAUUUUUUUACUCAUGAAAGGCCUCGAAGUUUGACUUAUAUGCUUCAAACCAAUGGAUAACUGAUUGAAUCUGUUUCAGACAGCAGCAUAGUUAACUUCAAAAUUCUAUAUCUCCCAAACUUCUCAACCAAAAAUUAUUAAAUUAUGCUGACAGUAAGAACUUUUAUCCCUCUACAAAAGUCUCCAUAGUUGGAAGAGCCAAUUCGGCCAUUUACUAGAUGAAACCUACCAGUUAACAGACCCGCUCAUUUUUGUCAGGCAAACAAGAACCCUUAUAUAUCAAAGAGUAGUGGAUUUGAAUUUGUCUAAUAUGAAGUUUAUGGGCUUGGAUCAUUUAAAGUAUUUUAUAAUUCUGAAAGACAAGAUUAAACUAACUAUGUAUGAUCCUUUAGCACCGUACAGAUGGUCGAUGGGACAGUUACAUGGUUUAUAUAGAUGGACCUAUCUAUAUUCCUUCAGUGGUUGAGAACAAGGUAAAGGUGUGUCACACUCACGCGUGCGCCGCCUCCGCCGAGACGAGGCAUGGCGUUGCAGGGUGAGGCAUGGCAUGGUGCAGCACGAUCGCAGUCAUGGUCGUGGCACAGUGUAGCACUGUUGUGGAUAGAUAGAUAAACUAUUGUUGUAGUUAGAGUGCAUGAGUUUUUGAAUGCAACACUAGAAUUUUCACAAUUUAACUUAAUUAAGAAGUUAUAUCUUGAUGACACAGAGUUACCUGACCAUUGAUCUCACAUGCCCUUUUAGCUCUCUCGUACUCUAGACUUACCCUGACUAUUUAGGUCUCCUGACUCGCCAAUAUAAACACCAUCCUAUCAUUUGCUGUCGAAUACUUCUGUGUCACAACUCAACUGUCAGAUGAGUACUCCAUUACAGCACUGAGCAGGCCUCCGAAAUGAAUAUCUACUCAGAUGAAGGACGACAAUCGUGUUCUAGGGAAAUAUCAGCGACACAACUCCUUACUUCCUCCGCUUCUUCCUAGUGUUUUUUGUUGUGAUUGAGUCGACAUAGCAACAACACUGCACUAUUACAACCAGUACGACUAUAUCAACUAGCAAUGUCUUCCUUAUAUGUUACUAUUUAUUUUGCUCAUAUUCAUUAUGUUUAAAUCACAUAGGCGCCUUUAUGUUGGCAUCAAAAAAUCAGUAUCAACUUUAUAGAUUAAAAUGAAACUAAAAGUACCUAAAUUUCUAUCGGUGGGGAUCGAGUGAUUCUUUAAACCGAUUAUUACACAAGUUAACCACACUAAAAUUAACAAUGGUGAAUCGUGCCAUGAUUUUUUUCUAGUGGAAAAUAGCCAAACCAAGCAACACAUAUGUGGCUAUCGUUACACAUGUGUAAAGGUAUUGCAUCACACCAUUGUCACCCAUGUAUGUGGACAAUACCGAGAGGAAAAACCACUUAUUUAUUGUAUUUUAUCAAGUUUGUCUUGCUUACGUAUAAAUUAUAACCCAACAAAGUAAUCACUAAAUGUCAAAACCAACUAGAUACCAUGUCAUCUCUACCUUAUCUUACUAAUAUUCUUUUUGCAAAAUCCAAAAUUAAUCUUGCACAAGCACAAGGACUGAGAUGUGUAUAAAUAUCUCUUAAAUUAGUAGCUAAUAUAUCGCACAUAUUAUUGAGACCAACUAGCAACAUAGAAAGCACAAUAGUGUACCAACAAUGGCAGCCAAAAUAUUUUGCCUCCUUAUGCUCCUUGGUCUUUCUGCAAGUGCUGCUACGGCGACCAUUUUCCCGCAAUGCUCGCAAGCUCCUAUAGCUUCCCUUCUUCCCCCGUACCUCUCACCAGCGGUGUCUUCGGUAUGUGAAAACCCAAUUCUUCAACCCUACAGGAUCCAACAGGCAAUCGCAGCUGGCAUCUUACCUUUAUCACCCUUGUUCCUCCAACAAUCAUCAGCCCUAUUACAACAGUUACCUUUGGUGCAUUUAUUGGCACAAAACAUCAGGGCACAACAACUACAACAACUUGUGCUAGCAAACCUUGCUGCCUACUCUCAGCAACAGCAGUUUCUUCCAUUCAACCAACUAGGUUCAUUGAACUCUGCUUCUUAUUUGCAACAACAACAACUACCAUUCAGCCAGCUACCUGCUGCCUACCCCCAGCAAUUUCUUCCAUUCAACCAACUAGCAGCAUUGAACUCUCCUGCUUAUUUACAGCAGCAACAACUACUACCAUUCAGCCAGCUAGCUGGUGUGAGCCCUGCUACCUUCUUGACACAACCACAGUUGUUGCCGUUCUACCAGCACGUUGCGCCUAACGCUGGCACCCUCUUACAACUGCAACAAUUGCUGCCAUUCAACCAACUUGCUUUGACAAACCCAGCAGUGUUCUACCAACAACCCAUCAUUGGUGGUGCCCUCUUUUAGAUUUCUUAUGAGUUAUAGUUCAAUAAUAAAGUUUUUUAUCUGAUGUUUGUGGCUUCCCAGAAAUAAGAAAGUACAUUUCUAGAUUCUUAUGUGCUUCUAGUCUUCAAAUGUGGUUGAUAGUUAUUGUUGGGGACUUGUUCUCAAAUGCUAAGAGUUAAGAACAAGGCAACAUAAAAAUGUUAAAUGCUAAAGUCCUUCGUCCUUCGAAGCAUUAUUUCCCUUAGGAUAUAAUGAAUUUCGGACGAAGGCUAUGAAGGACAUACCUUCAUAAGCACAACGAAUGAUGAAGAAGAAUUCAUAUAAAUUAUGAGAUAUAACAUAAACAUUUAAACAUUAUUAUUAACUCAUUUCUAUUGACUUGUCAGGGAAAAAUAGAAAUGAUAAUAAAUUACAAAUAUACCUUCGGCUUGAGAGAAGGUAAAGGUACAAGCGUGAGGCAAAAGCAAAUGCCAAGUCAGCGUGAACAGUACGGGAACACUGUUCAUCUAUUUAUAGGCACGGGACGCAGCCCAUGCAAAAUUACAUCCAGGCCCUUUGCUUUUGACAAUAACUCUAUAGUAAUCUAUCUGGGUCUAGAUAGUCUUUUCCUCUUUAAGUCGGUUUCCUCUUUUCUGCCAUCAUACCGAAGCUCCCUUGCGCACAGCUUCGGCUCUGCUCCAUCCUUCGUAUUGUUUCCGUGCUUCUUCAUACCGUGGGCUCUUGUUCGAAGAUCCCUAUCCACACAUUAUACUCCAGAGGCAUUGUUAAAUCAUGUUUUUGAGGACCUUCGGAAGUCGAAGGCCCCCAACAGUAGCCCCUCGCAAUAUUAAUUUAUUAGAAUGAUAAAUUUAGAUCGCGACAUGGACGAAGGCCUUAAGCCGAAGGUCCGAAAAAACACCUUCCCUUUGCUAGAAUAGCAACAAUCAAUGACAAGCGGGGCCCUUUCCCUUGCAACACACUAGGCGUAUAAAUAAGAGCAUACCGCGAGCGGAUUUGGCACGCUUUUUGCCAUCUGCUCUUGCUCACCCAACUUUUAGCCCUUGCACACCAACACCUGCUUGGCCUUUUUUUAAAAAAAUUUAAGCUUCGGUUUCGAGAGCACUUUCUCAGCAUUUUCGAAGAUGUCUGAAGAUAAGAAAGUUGUCGCUGAGUCGAAGCUGAGACUUUCUGAGGAGAUGAAUCUCGGCUUUCUUGAAUCAAUAGCGAAGACAAAUACAGAGAAGAUUACUAGGGAGAUUUUAGAAGGUUUAUCUGAAGACACUGGUGACAGUGACAGUUAUGAUGUGGAAAGUGGUGGUGAAGAUUCCGAAGAUCGACCCUGGUGACCAAGCCAUGCAGUUUUUGGAAAAUCAAGCAUUAAACUAAGCCAUCUUGUUAAUAUGAGGGGCAGAUAUUUUCGGGAUUUAUCUAUUGUGAGGGCUGAUGAAGGAGAAAAAACUUGUCCUACUCCUGAGGAAAAUGAAGUCGUGAUAUUCCGAAGCUUCUUCAAGGCUGGGCUUCGGUUUCCUUUAAGCGGUUUCGUGGUUGAAGUUUUGAAGAUUUUUGAAAUCUACCUCCAUCAAAUUACUCCUGAAGCAAUCAUAAGGAUGGGAAUCUUCGUAUGGGCUGUGAAGAGCCAAGGUUUGGAGCCGAAUGCAAAAAGUUUCUGCAAUAUGCAUGAGCUAUUAUACGAGACGAAACCUUGGGGUAAAGAGAAAUAUCAUAACAAUUUUGGCUGCUACAGCUUCGGCGCCCGCUCUGGGUCAAGCUGUCCCGUGCCAACUUUUUGGAAGAGAUGGCCCGGGGACUCGAUGAAGGAAUGGUGUUAUGUAAAAAACGACUUGAAAACGCGAGAAGGUAUUAAAGAUAUCAUCAUGCGCCCCAUCUGGCAGCGUUUCGGCCUUCGGAAACCGAAGGUGGAUAUUGACGAAGCAACCGAAGAAUGCCAGAGGGCCUUCGGCGUAGUUUGCUCUUUCAUCGGGACAAGGGAUUUGAUCCAGGAACAUAUUUCCUUCAGAGUAUGGCCACUUGUAGAAAAGUGGGAAAUGCCGAAGGAAACCAUCAGCAAACCUGAUGAAGUGGACUAGUUAGGUUAAAAUAUACCUUCAGAUAUGGAGAUAAGUUUGUGGAGCCAGAUGAUGACUGGCUGAAAUGUAUUGAGGCCACAAGCGAUGAACUGCUUGGGCCAUAUUCGAAGACAGAAGAUACUGCACUGUCCGCGGCCUUCGGAGGUCGGAAGAAGAGACUCAACCGAGUGUUUGAUGCCAUUGGGUUCGUCUAUCCUGACUACCGUUACCCAACACAGGGUCAGAAAGGGAAAGAUACGACUUCUGUGAAGAAAGUUGCUUCAGCCGCUCCUAGUGAGCCGGCGCCGAAGAGGAAAAAGAUGAAGGUUCUUACGCACCGGCCACGCUAUAUUGAACCGGCCACAGUGCCUGAGUUUGUCGGUGAGACCUCUUCGGCCACCGAAGCCAAGGAGCCGACUCUCCUGCCGAAUAUUGAAGAGCCGGCCAAAAUGCCGGCAAUGGAAAAAAUAGAAGAACCGAGGGCUGAAGAGACAAAGACAUCGGAAAAGAAUGGUUAACGUGCUAAUGCCGAAUAUUGAAGUCCUUCAGCAAGAAUCGAGGUGCUAAUGCCAAUGCCGAUGGCACAAAAAGACCUUACGACAACCCCCAAGAGGAAAAGAAUGGUUAACGUGCUAGAUGUACUGGAAACGAUAAAAUCUUCAAGCUCUACUCCGAAGAUAGCUACUGAAGUUCCAAAGACACAAACUGAGGCCAAAGCUGCCAAAAGUCAAGCGGAAACUGAAACUGGGCUUUCAGAGCCUACCAAGAGGGAAUUCUUGGAAAUUGAAAAAGAAACGGAAAAAGAAUCUGCAGAAGAAACUUUUUCUGAGAAAAUCGUCACACAUAUUCCCGAAGCAUCUUCUGAAGCUUCUGACUAUGUAUUACGUCAUGCUUCGGGUAAAAAUCUGAGCGAAAAAGAAAAAAGAGAAGCUCAAUUCUAUGCGCAAAAAUUGAAAUAUCCAAAAGGGGCGCUGAUAUUCAACGGCAGCGGAGAAGAAGACUUCUUGUAUUGUCUCCCUCAUAGCAAGGAGAUUUCUGUCUGUCGGGAGAUGAGCAAAAGCUUCGGAUUCCCAACAUUAGAAGACGGGCUCUUGGUGUUGUCAAAGGACGAGCUAGCCGACAGCUUAGCGUAUAAUAGUUUAAAGGUGAAGAAAAUGAGAUCUUUGUAUUAUUUCUUGAAACCAAAAUUUUUCAUUUGCUUAAACUUAUUAACGCAUUUUUUUACAGGGUCUUAUACUUAGCAAUGCCCUCAGGGCACAAAAGAAUGACGAAGACGAAGGGUGCGCCAUAGCCCUGAGCAACCUUCGUUCCGAAGUAAUUGAUCUAAGGAACGAAGGUCUCGAAAAAGAUAAAAUAUUACAUUCGUUGGUGAAUAAAAUAAAAGAAGAUGAAGCUACUUUCAAAGCUCAAGCUGAGGCUCAGAAGCACGAAAUUGAGAAUCUUCGGAAACAACUAGCCAGAGCUACAGAAGAAUACACAAUUGAAGAAACAAAACGAGAAAUUAGUGAACAAUGGGCAAAUCAUUUAGAAAAAAACGUUGAAGAGCUUCGUGCGUCCAAGAAAAGGUGUUAUGAAAAAUCUAUAGAAUGUGUUAAGAAAAUAAGAACCAGCUUCACCAACGUUGGCGCGUUUUCAAGUGAAGAAAAUUUCAUGAGGGGUGACCCCGAAAGCCCAAUUGGAUGGAUCAGCCACGAAGCUGAAGCUUUUGAAUAGCCGUGGAGACAUAUGUGCCUUCUCGGGUGCCAGGGGGAUUGCCGCUGUUUUGGAGAAGAAAGGUUGCGAUCACGUGAAAUCCCUGGCACAGACCGAAGCCGUUUUAUCCUCUGAAGACAUAAAAGACCCUUCGGCCGAGGCGAGUUUGGUUGGUGGGAAAUUUUUCACCGACAUCUGGGAAAACGGUGGCCGGGAGAUGGCUCAAGAAAUUAUACGGAGAAGCGAGAAUGGUAUACAUGACGCUAGAAAAGUAGCAGAGGCCGCUGAGAAAAGUGUGGAUCUCGAAGGGCGAAUAGGUAUUAACUAGUAAUUUUUGGCUUUUUGUUGUAACCUUUUGAUUUUGAACUUGUUUACACUUUGUAACAUGGUCGCACCUUCUCCUCCCUCAGAGCCUGCCGAGCCAUCGACAGACCCCCACGUAAAGGGGGAUGACGAGAUUAGAAGAAUGGCUGAAGCUAUCAUGGACAAAGUUGUUGAUCAAUUACUAAACGAAGCUGCAGAAAUAGUUCUAAGGGAAGAUUAGAUGUUAUUGUAAAAACAUUUGGAAUGUAAUAUUUGUUGAACAAUAUGUGUAAUAUUUUGUAACUUUGAAUGUAAUAUAUAAUCUAUUUGUGGUUCAAUUCUUUACGAUGCAUGAAACUUUACAUACAUACCGUUUUUGAGCCUUCGGCGAAAAAACACCUUCCCUUCUUUUCAUGCUUCGUAAAUAAUAUCCGUAUAUCAUAAAAACAUCCAAUUUUCGUAAAAUCAGUAACCAAUAGAUCUUUUUAUUUCAUAAAAACAUCCAAUCUUCGUAAAAUCAGUAACCAAUCUUCGUAAAGGCAUGCUUCUUCAAUAAUUAUUUUUGUGCCUUGGCACUGUUUCUUCGAAACAAUCUCCGAAUAUCAACAUUGAAACCCCCUUCUUGCGUCAUUGAUGCAAUAUGAUGUAUGAUGUUAUGCUAUGCAAAUGAUGUGAUGAUGUGAUGUUAUGCAAAAUGAUAUUUGCCGAAGAUCAACGUUUAUUUUUCACUGCAAGCCUCCCUUAGGAGCUUCUUCGCCUUUUACUUCAGCGGAAUCAGCAUUUAUUUUUCGCUGUAAGCCUCCCUUAGGAGCUUCUUCGCCUUUUACUUUCAGCGGAAUCAGCGUUUAUUUUUUGCUGUAAGCCUCCCUUAGGAGCUUCUUCGCCUUUUACUUUCAGCGGAAUCAGCGUUUAUUUUUCGCUGUAAGCUCUGCAUUCCCUUCGGAACGACUUUUGAGCAGAAAACUUACGCUGCGCUCCCUUAGGAACGACUUUUUGUUAUUUCGGAGAUUCUCCUUGUAACCAUAAAUUCUUAUGCUUCGGCAACUCUGUUAUUUUGUGGAGAAGGUAUAUUUUUACUGUGGCGAAAACGAAGCUAUUACAAGAAAUUGAAAACGACAAAAAGCACUUAGGCUUUCAAUAAUUGUUCCUUAUUAAAAAGAAAAUGAUACUGAAUGUAAAAACUACUGCCGAGGUAGGAUAUUUGUUAGUAAAUAUGCUUCGAUUCUGGCACAGUACUAUUGACUGUGCGAGCUUCGGACUCUUCUCUAAAGUCCCGUUGAAGGUGGAUAUGCUGACUCCCUUCUGGCUGCUGGCUUUGUUGCAUUGGUGGUGGAGGUGGAGGCUGCUGCCAAGAUGCCUGAGGUUGGCUUGCCGAAGCAACAGAAGCUGCAGGGUGGUUGCCUACAUACUCUGGAAUGUAAGGCGAAUGGUAUGAAGCAGUGUGCAUAACUUGCUUCGGCUGGCUCUGUUGGGCUGCAGCUUCUGCUAUCUCCUUUUGUUUCUGGAUGGUAACAUGGCACAUCCUGGUGGUAUGGCCCUUGUCCUCUCCACAGAAUAGGCAAUAGAUCUUCCUGGGCUGAUCCCCAAAUCUUCCUCCGAAGCCCCUGGCACCUCUACCCCUUGGAGCUGGAGGCCGAGGAUAGCUCUGCUGCUGCCCCGAAGCCUGGGAGGAAUAUUGCGGCCUCUGCUGCUGGCUUCCCCUGUCAUCAUUCUGAGUGUUAUGAAUCGAUCUGACAUGUCUAGGGUGAACUCUCCCUCCGAAGCCACUGGCUAUUUUGGAGAACCUGUAAGCUUCCUCCCUUCUCUAUCGGAAGUCGUUGUCAGCGCGGAUGUAUUCGUCCAUCUUCUGAAGCAGUUUCUCCAGAGUCUGAGGGGGCUUCCUGGCAAAGUACUGGGCUGAAGGUCCUGGCCGAAGCCCCUUAAUCAUGGCCUCAAUGACAAUUUCAUUGGGCACUGUUGGUGCUUGUGCCCUCAGGCGUAAGAACCUUCGGACAUACGCCUGAAGAUAUUCUCCGUGGUCUUGGGUGCACUGGAAUAAGUCUUGAGCGGUGACCGGCUUCGUUUGAAACCCUUAGAAACUGGUGAUCAGCAUAUCCUUCAGCUUCUGCCAUGAUGUGAUUGUUCCUGGCCGAAGGGAGGAGUACCAGGUUUGUGCAACAUUCUUGACGGCCAUGACGAAAGACUUCGCCAUGACUGCAAUAUUGCCACCAUAGGAAGAUAUCGUUGCUUCGUAGCUCAUCAGAAACUGCUUCAGAUCUGAGUGUCCGUUGUACAUGGGGAGUUGAGGUGGCUUGUAAGACGGAGGCCAAGGUGUAGCCUGCAGUUCUGGUGAUAGAGGAGAAGCAUCGUCAAAAGCAAAAUUUCCAUGAUGGAAAUCCUCAUACCAGUCAUCCUCGUUGACGAAGCCCUCUUGGUGGAGCUCUCUGUACUGGGGCCUCCGGUUCUAUUCAUCUUGCGUAAGAUGACGAACCUCUUUAGAGGCUUUGUCUAUCUGCCUUUGUAGGUCAGCUAGCCGGGCCAUCUUUUCUUUCUUCUUUUGCACUUGUUGAUGCAGCAUUUCCAUGUUCCUGAUUUCUUGGUCCAAAUCGUCCUCCUGAGGCGUUGGACUGGUGGCCUUCCUCUUCUGGCUUCGGGCUUCCCGAAGAGAGAGAGUCUCCUGGUUCGUGUCCAGCGGCUGCAGAGCCGCAGCCCCUGUUGCUGAAGCUUUCUUUGGCGGCAUGACAAAGGUCGAUGCUUGCCGAAGGUGUUCGAAACUCAAAAAGUGGAAGUGAGUUCACCGGAGGUGGGCACUAAUGUUGGGGACUUGUUCUCAAAUGCUAAGAGUUAAGAACAAGGAAACAUAAAAAUGUUAAAUGCUAAAGUCCUUAGUCCUUCGAAGCAUUAUUUCCCUUAGGAUAUAAUGAAUUUCGGACGAAGGUUAUGAAGGACAUACCUUCAUAAGCACAACGAAUGAUGAAGAAGAAUUCAUAUAAAUUAUGAGAUAUAACAUAAACAUUUAAACAUUAUUAUUAACUCAUUUCUAUUGACUUGUCAGGGAAAAAUAGAAAUGAUAAUAAAUUACAAAUAUACCUUCGGCUUGAGAGAAGGUAAAGGUACAAGCGUGAGGCAAAAGCAAAUGCCAAGUCAGCGUGAAUAGUACGGGAACACUGUUCAUCUAUUUAUAGGCACGGGACGCAGCCCAUGCAAAAUUACAUCCAGGCCCUUUGCUUUUGACAAUAACUCUAUAGUAAUCUAUCUGGGUCUAGAUAGUCUUUUCCUCUUUAAGUCGGUUUCCUCUUUUCUGCCAUCAUGCCGAAGCUCCCUUGCGCACAACUUCUGCUCUGCUCCAUCCUUCGUAUUGUUUCCGUGCUUCUUCAUACCAUGGGCUCUUGUUCGAAGAUCCCUGUCCACACAUUAUACUCCAGAGGCAUUGCUAAAUCAUGUUUUUGAGGACCUUCGGAAGCCGAAGGCCCCCAACAGUUAUUUUGCUCUAAGAUCGGCAGUAAUGAAGUAUAAAUCAUCGUUGUGGUGUGCUACUCGGUUAAUUGAGCAUUAACACACACAAACAUGACGAGGAUGGUAUAAUCUCCAAAAAUGUGUACUUUGUUAGGUGGGACCCUAUAGCCUUGCAGAAUGUGCUAUGUUAGGCAUGCCUGGAAACGUGUGACGCAUACGUUUUGUGAACCUGUUCAUAUUAUAUGUGCUUUUAUAUUAUCGUAUUUUAUUAAAAUACUAAUAUUUAUUACUAGUAAGAUAUAACAUUCUAUCUAGCUUAAAAACUAACCAUAAAUAUUCCAUAAUAACUAGAUUUACCAAACUAAUAUACUAAAUAUACAUAAUAAAUACAAAAUUAACAAGACAAUAAUCAAUAUUUAUGAGCUUAAUAUAUUUAGACAUUAUGGUUGGUCGACGAUAAUCAUGCUAACUUUCCGUAAUUGCUUGAUUGUAAAUAUGCUUAGAAUAAUGCCUCUUUGUUCUACAUGGCAAAUAGGGACCAUUAUGGUGUAACACCCUGGGAUCCACAAACACCCUGAAAUGCUACUAAACUACACAACUAACCUUCAUAUAUUAAAUUUCGACAGCAUCUCCUUUGAAAAUUUGUAUAAACGUGGAAGCAACAGAGUAUAAACAGAUAUGAUGAUAAGGAAACAUAAUAGACAUUAAUAAUCUGCUAGAAAUGGGAAGAUAACCAUAACGACAUAAACUGAAUUAACUAGUGUGCACGGCAUGUUAAAAACAAACAUCGUUGACAAGAAGUUUCUAAUUAAAUCAUGGCUGUGCCUAGGCAGCGUUAUUAUAUGAGUGAAGGUGGACGUGAUGCUACUUCCCUCAUUCCCAACAUGAAUCAAGUACCUGUAUUGAGUAAUGCAAGAGUGAGAUGAAAACAUCUCAGCAAGUAAAUUGUUUUGACGAGAUAUUUAAACCAAAAAAAUUUGAUUUAAUCAACAUUUUAAAGGGAUCACAAUUGAGAUCAGACAUACUUGUAGAUAUAAAACUCAAUAGUCCCAAAAUAACCAAUGCCAUCUCAUUUCCACAAACAACCACAAUAGGUUGUAUAACACUUCCCUGCGUCAUCAAUACCUGCAAAUAUCACUUCAAUGUAUGCAUAGGAAUGCAAUGUUUAAGUCCUCUGCAUUCAUACUUCUUAGAGUAUAAAACCACACCAUCUGCAAAUAUCACUUCAAUGAAUGCAUAUGAAUGCAAUGCAUAUGUCCUCUGCCUUCAUACCUCUAAGGGUAUGAAGACGCAUCGUACCCCUCCUCGGGCAACGUACGAUGCUAAGUUGUACCGGUACGGUCGGACCAUAGGUCACGACAAAACUUCAGAUGCAAGUGAAUCAUGACAUGUAUAUGGCAUGCUGCAUUUAUCAAUAUACUACACUUCCUUCACAUACAAUACAAACCUCAAAUAAUACUUCGUUUACCUUCAGAUACAAUACAAACCUCAAAUAAUACUUCAUUCACCUUCAGGGGUGUUUAUUAAUCUCGUGGGUCAUACUCAAAUCAUCAUCAUCAUCAAUGAUGUUUAAGCAUCAGUAUAAUACAAUCAAGUAAAGCAUCACCAUAGAGUUCAAUUAUGAAAGAAUUCGAUGAUUCUGAAUAUUAGAGUGUAUGCGAUGAAACAACAAAGUCAAAACGGUAGCAACCACCGCUACAUUCACUUGCCUUCAUCGAAGAAGAAAAAGGUACUAGGCAUGAUUCGGAGUGUAGACACCUGCUGUGGGGCUUAAAACUUAGUACAAAUAUUCCACAAACAUUUGCCAACAACUAACAAAUCGCUCCUACACUUGUAACCAAGACCCGGUGGAAUGACUCCCACCCUGAACCACAUGUCAAACAGCAGGAGUGCUGUUUGUUAAUUUUGUAUCUUUAAAAUUAUAACAGUGGUGAUAUCAAACAAAUACUCUAGAAGUUUCUACACAAAAUACUCUACAACUUCGGUAUUCAAUGGAUAAUUAAAUUUUGCCAUCUAUAAGUUCUAAAACAUCUGACAAGAUAACUGACAGAAUCUGUUUCAGACAGCAGCAUAGUUAACUUCAAAAUUCGAUAUCUCCCAAACUCCUCAACCAAAAUUUAUGAAAUUAUGUUGACAGUAAGAACUUUUAUCCCUCUACAAAAGUCUCCAUAGUUGGAAGAGCCAAUUCGGCCAUUUACUAGAUGAAACCUACCAUUUAACAGACCCGCUCAUUUUUGUCAGGCAAACAAGAACCCUUAUAUAUCAAAGAGUAGUGGAUUUGAAUUUGUCUAAUAUGAAGUUUAUGGGCUUGGAUCAUUUAAAGUAUUUUAUAAUUCUGAAAGACAAGAUUAAACUAACUAUGUAUGAUCCUUUAGCACCGUACAGAUGGUCGAUGGGACAGUUACAUGGUUUAUAUAGAUGGACAUAUCUAUAUUCCUUCAGUGGUUGAGAAAAAGGUAAAGGUGUGUCACACUCACGCGUGCACUGCCUCCGCCGAGACGAGGCAUGGCGUUGCAAGGUGAGGCAUGGCAUGGUGCAGCACGAUCGUAUACAUGGUCGUGGCACAGUGUAGCACUGUUGUGGAUAGAUAGAUAAACUUUUGUUGUAGUUAGAGUGCAUGAGUUUUUGAAUGCAACACAAGAAUUUUCACAAUUUAACUUAAUUAAGAAGUUAUAUCUUGAUGACACAGAGUUACCUGACCAUUGAUCUCACAUGCCCUUUUAGCUCUCUCGUUCUCUAGACUCACCCUGACUAUUUAGGUCUCCUGACUCGCCAAUAUAAACACCAUCCUAUCAUUUGCUCUCGAAUACUUCUGUGUCACAACUCAACUGUCAGAUGAGUACUCCAUUACAGCACUGAGCAGGCCUCCGAAAUGAAUAUCUACUCAGAUGAAGGACGACAAUCGUGUUCUAGGGAAAUAUCAGCGACACAACUCCUUACUUCCUCCGCUUCUUCCUAGUGUUUUUUGUUGUGAUUGAGUCGACAUAGCAACAACACUGCACUAUUACAACCAGUACGACUAUAUCAACUAGCAAUGUCUUCCUUAUAUGUUACUAUUUAUUUUGCUCAUAUUCAUUAUGUUUAAAUCACAUAGGCGCCUUUAUGUUGGCAUCAAAAAAUCAGUAUCAACUUUAUAGAUUAAAAUGAAACUAAAAGUACCUAAAUUUCUAUCGGUGGGGAUCGAGUGAUUCUUUAAACCGAUUAUUACACAAGUUAACCACACUAAAAUUAACAAUGGUGAAUCGUGCCAUGAUUUUUUUCUAGUGGAAAAUAGCCAAACCAAGCAACACAUAUGUGGCUAUCGUUACACAUGUGUAAAGGUAUUGCAUCACACCAUUGUCACCCAUGUAUUUGGACAAUACCGAGAGGAAAAACCACUUAUUUAUUGUAUUAUAUCAAGUUUGUCUUGCUUACGUAUAAAUUAUAACCCAACAAAGUAAUCACUAAAUGUCAAAACCAACUAGAUACCAUGUCAUCUCUACCUUAUCUUACUAAUAUUCUUUUUGCAAAAUCCAAAAUUAAUCUUGCACAAGCACAAGGACUGAGAUGUGUAUAAAUAUCUCUUAAAUUAGUAGCUAAUAUAUCGCACAUAUUAUUGAGACCAACUAGCAACAUAGAAAGCACAAUAGUGUACCAACAAUGGCAGCCAAAAUAUUUUGCCUCCUUAUGCUCCUUGGUCUUUCUGCAAGUGCUGCUACGGCGACCAUUUUCCCGCAAUGCUCGCAAGCUCCUAUAGCUUCCCUUCUUCCCCCGUACCUCUCACCAGCGGUGUCUUCGGUAUGUGAAAACCCAAUUCUUCAACCCUACAGGAUCCAACAGGCAAUCACAGCUGGCAUCUUACCUUUAUCACCCUUGUUCCUCCAACAAUCAUCAGCCCUAUUACAUCAGUUACCUUUGGUGCAUUUAUUGGCACAAAACAUCAGGGCACAACAACUACAACAACUUGUGCUAGCAAACCUUGCUGCCUACUCUCAGCAACAGCAGUUUCUUCCAUUCAACCAACUAGCUGCAUUGAACUCUGCUUCUUAUUUGCAACAACAACAACUACCAUUCAGCCAGCUACCUGCUGCCUACCCCCAGCAAUUUCUUCCAUUCAACCAACUGGCAGCAUUGAACUCUCCUGCUUAUUUACAGCAGCAACAACUACUACCAUUCAGCCAGCUAGCUGGUGUGAGCCCUGCUACCUUCUUGAUACAACCACAGUUGUUGCCGUUCUACCAGCACGCUGCGCCUAACGCUGGCACCCUCUUACAACUGCAACAAUUGCUGCCAUUCAACCAACUUGCUUUGACAAACCCAGCAGCGUUCUACCAACAACCCAUCAUUGGUGGUGCCCUCUUUUAGAUUUCUUAUGAGUUAUAGUUCAAUAAUAAAGUUUUUUGUCUGAUGUUUGUGGCUUCCCAGAAAUAAGAAAGUACAUUUCUAGAUUCUUAUGUGCUUCUAGUCUCCAAAUGUGGUUGAUAGUUAUUUUGCUCUAAGAUCGACAGUAAUGAAGUAUAAAUCAUCGUUGUGGUGUGCUACUCGGUUAAUUGAGCAUUAACACACACAAACAUGACGAGGAUGGUAUAAUCUCCAAAAAUAUGUACUUUGUUAGGUGGGACCCUAUAGCCUUGCAUAAUGUGCUAUGUUAGGCAUGCCUGGAAACGUGUGACGCAUAUGUUUUGUGAACCUGUUGAUAUUAUAUGUGCUUUUAUAUUACCAUAUUUUAUUAAAAUACUAAUAUUUAUUACUAGUAAGAUAUAACAUUCUAUCUAGCUUAAAAACUAACCAUAAAUAUUCCAUAAUAACUAGAUUUACCAAACUAAUAUACUAAAUAUACAUAAUAAAUACAAAAUUAACAAGACAAUAAUCAAUAUUUAUGAGCUUAAUAUAUUUAGACAUUAUGGUUGGUCGACCAUAAUCAUGCUAACUUUUCGUACUUGCUUGAUUGUAAAUAUGCUUAGAAUAAUGCCUCUUUGUUCUACAUGGCAAAUAGGGACCAUUAUGGUGUAACACCCUGGGAACCACAAACACCCCGAAAUGCUACUAAACUACACAACUAACCUUCAUAUAUAAAAUUUCGACAGCAUCUCCUUUGAAAAUUUGCAUAAACGUGGAAGCAACAGAGUAUAAACAGAUAUCAUGAUAAGGAAACAUACUAGACAUUAAUAAUCUGCUAGAAAUGGGAAGAUAACCAUAACGACAUAAACUGAAUUAACUAGUGUGCACAACUUGUUUAAAACAAACAUCAUUGACAAGAAGUUUCUAAUUAAAUCAUGGCUGUGCCUGGGUAGCGUUAUUAUGAGAGUGAAGGUGGACGUGAUGCUACUUCCCUCAUUCCCAACAUGAAUCAAGUACCUGCAUUGAGUAAUGCAAGAGUGAGAUGAAAACAUCUCAGCAAGUAAAUUGUUUUGACGAGAUAUUUAAAGCAAAAAAAUUUGAUUUACUCAACAUUUUAAAGGGAUCACAAUUGAGAUCAGAAAUACUUGUAGAUAUAGAACUCAAUAGUCCCAAAAUAACCAGUGCCAUCUCAUUUCCUCAAACAACCACAAUAGGUUGUAUAACACUUCCCUGCGUCAUCAAUACCUGCAAAUAUCACUUCAAUGUAUGCAUAGGAAUGCAAUGUUUAAGUCCUCUGCAUUCAUACUUCUUAGAGUAUAAAACCACACCAUCUGCAAAUAUCACUUCAAUGAAUGCAUAUGAAUGCAAUGCAUAUGUCCUCUGCCUUCAUACCUCUAAGGGUAUGAAGCCGAAUCGUACCCCUCCUCGGGCAACGUACGAUGCUAAGUUGUACCGUUACGGUCGGACCAUAGGUCACGACAAAACUUCAUAUGCAAGUGAAUCAUGACAUGUAUAUGGCUUGCUGCAUUUAUCAAUAUACUUCACUUCCUUCAUAUACAAUACAAACCUCAAAUAAUACUUCGUUUACCUUCAGAUACAAUACAAACCUCAAAUAAUACUUCAUUCACCUUCAGGGGUGUUUAUUAAUCUCGUGGGUCAUACUCGAAUCAUCAUCAUCAUCAAUGAUGAUUAAGCAUCAGUAUAAUACAAUCAAGUAAAGCAUCACCAUAGAGUUCAAUUAUGAAAGAAUUCGAUGAUUCUGAAUAUUAGAGUGUAUGCGAUGAAACAACAACGUCAAAACGGUAGCAACCACCGCUACAUUCACUUGCCUUCAUCGAAGAAGAAAAACAUACUAGGCAUGAUUCAGAGUGUAGACACCUGCUGUGGGGCUUAAAACUUAGUACAAAUAUUCCACAAACAUUUGCCAACAAUUAACAAAUCGCUCCUACACUUGAAACCAAGACCCGGUGGAAUGACUCCCACCCUGAACCACAUGCCAAACAAUAGUAGUGUUGUUUGUUAAUUUUGUAUCUUUAAAAUUAUAACAGUGGUGAUAUCAAACAAAUACUCCAGAAGUUUCUACACAAAAUACUCUACAACUUUGGUAUUCAAUGGAUAAUUAAAUUUUGCCAUCUAUAAGUUCUAAAACAUCUGAUAAGAUAACUGACUGAAUUUGUUUCAGACAACAGCAUAGUUAACUUCAAAAUUCGAUAUCUCCCAAACUCCUCAACCAAAAAUUAUGAAAUUAUUCUGACAGUAAGAACUUUUUUCCCUCUACAAAAGUAUCUAUAGUUGGAAGAGCCAAUUCGGCCAUUUACUAGAUGAAACCUACCAGUUAACAGACCCGCUCAUUUUUGUCAGGCAAACAAGAACCCUUAUAUAUCAAAGAGUAGUGGAUUUGAAUUUGUCUAAUAUGAAGUUUAUGGGCUUGGAUCAUUUAAAGUAUUUUAUAAUUCUGAAAGACAAGAUUAAACUAACUAUGUAUGAUCCUUUAGCACUGUACAGAUGGUCGAUGGGACAGUUACAUGGUUUAUAUAGAUGGACCUAUCUAUAUUCCUUCAGUGGUUGAGAAAAAGGUAAAGGUGUGUCACACUCACGUGUGCGCCGCCUCUACCGAGAUGAGGCAUGGCGUUGCAAGGUGAGGCAUGGCAUGGUGCAGCACGAUCGUAUACAUGGUCGUGGCACAGUGUAGCACUGUUGUGGAUAGAUAGAUAAACUUUUGUUGUAGUUAGAGUGCAUGAGUUUUUGAAUGCAACACAAGAAUUUUCACAAUUUAACUUAAUUAAGAAGUUAUAUCUUGAUGACACAGAGUUACCUGACCAUUGAUCUCACAUGCCCUUUUAGCUCUCUCGUUCUCUAGACUCACCCUGACUAUUUAGGUCUCCUGACUCGCCAAUAUAAACACCAUCCUAUCAUUUGCUCUCGAAUACUUCUGUGUCACAACUCAACUGUCAGAUGAGUACUCCAUUACAGCACUGAGCAGGCCUCCGAAAUGAAUAUCUACUCAGAUGAAGGACGACAAUCGUGUUCUAGGGAAAUAUCGGUGACACAACUCCUUACUUCCUCCGCUUCUUCCUAGUGUUUUUUGUUGUGAUUGAGUCGACACAGCAACAACACUGCACUAUUACAACCAGUACGACUAUAUUAACUAGCAAUGUCUUCCUUAUAUGUUACUAUUUAUUUUGCUCAUAUUCAUUAUGUUUAAAUCACAUAGGCACCUUUUUGUUGGCAUCAAAAAAUUAGUAUCAACUUUCUAGAUUAAAGUGAAACUAAAAGUACCUAAAUUUCUAUCGGUGGGGAUCGAGUGAUUCUUUAAACCAAUUAUUACGCAAGUUAACCACACUAAAAUUAACAUUGGUGAACCGUGCCAUGAUUUUUUCUAAUGGAAAAUAGCCAAACCAAGCAACACAUAUGUGGCUAUCGUUACACAUGUGUAAAGGUAUUGCAUCACACCAUUGUCACCCAUGUAUUUGGACAAUACCGAGAGGAAAAACCACUUAUUUAUUGUAUUUUAUCAAGUUUGUCUUGCUUACGUAUAAAUUAUAACCCAACAAAGUAAUCACUAAAUGUCAAAACCAACUAGAUACCAUGUCAUCUCUACCUUAUCUUACUAAUAUUCUUUUUGCAAAAUCCAAAAUUAAUCUUGCACAAGCACAAGGACUGAGAUGUGUAUAAAUAUCUCUUAAAUUAGUAGCUAAUAUAUCACACAUAUUAUUGAGACCAACUAGCAACAUAGAAAGCACAAUAGUGUACCAACAAUGGCAGCUAAAAUAUUUUGCCUCCUUAUGCUCCUUGGUCUUUCUGCAAGUGCUGCUACGGCGACCAUUUUCCCACAAUGCUCACAAGCUCCUAUAGCUUCCCUUCUUCCCCCGUACCUCUCACCAACGGUGUCUUCGGUAUGUGAAAACCCAAUUCUUCAACCCUACAGGAUCCAACAGGCAAUCGCAGCUGGCAUCUUACCUUUAUCACCCUUGUUCCUCCAACAAUCAUCAGCCCUAUUACAGCAGUUACCUUUGGUGCAUUUAUUGGCACAAAACAUCAGGGCACAACAACUACAACAACUUGUGCUAGCAAACCUUGCUGCCUACUCUCAGCAACAGCAGUUUCUUCCAUUCAACCAACUAGCUGCAUUGAACUCUGCUUCUUAUUUGCAACAACAACAACUACCAUUCAGCCAGCUAUCUGCUGCCUACCCCCAGCAAUUUCUUCCAUUCAACCAACUGACAGCAUUGAACUCUCCUGCUUAUUUACAGCAGCAACAACUACUACCAUUCAGCCAGCUAGCUGGUGUGAGCCCUGCUACCUUCUUGACACAACCACAGUUGUUGCCGUUCUACCAGCACGCUGCGCCUAACGCUGGCACCCUCUUACAACUGCAACAAUUGCUGCCAUUCAACCAACUUGCUUUGACAAACCCAGCAGCAUUCUACCAACAACCCAUCAUUGGUGGUGCCCUCUUUUAGAUUUCUUAUGAGUUAUAGUUCAAUAAUAAAGUUUUUUGUCUGAUGUUUGUGGCUUCCCAGAAAUAAGAAAGUACAUUUCUAGAUUCUUAUGUGCUUCUAGUCUCCAAAUGUGGUUGAUAGUUAUUUUGCUCUAAGAUCAACAGUAAUGAAGUAUAAAUCAUCGUUGUGGUGUGCUACUCGGUUAAUUGAGCAUUAACACACACAAACAUGACGAGGAUGGUAUAAUCUCCAAAAAUGUGUACUUUGUUAGGUGGGACCCUAUAGCCUUGAUUAAUGUGCUAUGUUAGGCAUGCCUGGAAACGUGUGACGCAUAUGUUUUGUGAACCUGUUGAUAUUAUAUGUGCUUUUAUAUUACCAUAUUUUAUUAAAAUACUAAUAUUUAUUACUAGUAAGAUAUAACAUUCUAUCUAGCUUAAAAACUAACCAUAAAUAUUCCAUAAUAACUAGAUUUACCAAACUAAUAUACUAAAUAUACAUAAUAAAUACAAAAUUAACAAGACAAUAAUCAAUAUUUAUGAGCUUAAUAUAUUUAGACAUUAUGGUUGGUCGACGAUAAUCAUGCUAACUUUUCGUAAUUGCUUGAUUGUAAAUAUGCUUAGAAUAAUGCCUCUUUGUUCUACAUGGCAAAUAGGGACCAUUAUGGUGUAACACCCUGGGAACCACAAACACCCCGAAAUGCUACUAAACUACACAACUAACCUUCAUAUAUAAAAUUUCGACAGCAUCUCCUUUGAAAAUUUGCAUAGACGUGGAAGCAACAGAGUAUAAACAGAUAUCAUGAUAAGAAAACAUACUAGACAUUAAUAAUCUGCUAGAAAUGGGAAGAUAACCAUAACGACAUAAACUGAAUUAACUAGUGUGCACAACUUGUUAAAAACAAACAUCGUUGACAAGAAGUUUCUAAUUAAAUCAUGGUUGUGCCUGGGCAGCGUUAUUAUGAGAGUGAAGGUGGACGUGAUGCUACUUCCCUCAUUCCCAACAUGAAUCAAGUACCUGCAUUGAGCAAUGCAAGAGUGAGAUGAAAACAUCUCAGCAAGUAAAUUGUUUUGACGAGAUAUUUAAACCAAAAAAAUUUGAUUUACUCAACAUUUUAAAGGGAUCACAAUUGAGAUCAGAAAUACUUGUAGAUAUAGAACUCAAUAGUCCCAAAAUAACCAGUGCCAUCUCAUUUCCUCAAACAACCACAAUAGGUUGUAUAACACUUCCCUGCGUCAUCAAUACCUGCAAAUAUCACUUCAAUGUAUGCAUAGGAAUGCAAUGUUUAAGUCCUCUGCAUUCAUACUUCUUAGAGUAUAAAACCACACCAUCUGCAAAUAUCACUUCAAUGAAUGCAUAUGAAUGCAAUGCAUAUGUCCUCUGCCUUCAUACCUCUAAGGGUAUGAAGCCGAAUCGUACCCCUCCUCGGGCAACGUACGAUGCUAAGUUGUACCGGUACGGUCGGACCAUAGGUCACGACAAAACUUCAUAUGCAAGUGAAUCAUGACAUGUAUAUGGCUUGCUGCAUUUAUCAAUAUACUUCACUUCCUUCAUAUACAAUACAAACCUCAAAUAAUACUUCGUUUACCUUCAGAUACAAUACAAACCUCAAAUAAUACUUCAUUCACCUUCAGGGGUGUUUAUUAAUCUCGUGGGUCAUACUCGAAUCAUCAUCAUCAUCAAUGAUGAUUAAGCAUCAGUAUAAUACAAUCAAGUAAAGCAUCACCAUAGAGUUCAAUUAUGAAAGAAUUCGAUGAUUCUGAAUAUUAGAGUGUAUGCGAUGAAACAACAACGUCAAAACGGUAGCAACCACCGCUACAUUCAUUUGCCUUCAUCGAAGAAGAAAAAUGUACUAGGCAUGAUUCAGAGUGUAGACACCUGCUGUGGGGCUUAAAACUUAGUACAAAUAUUCCACAAACAUUUGCCAACAAUUAACAAAUCGCUCCUACACUUGAAACCAAGACCCGGUGGAAUGACUCCCACCCUGAACCACAUGCCAAACAAUAGUAGUGCUGUUUGUUAAUUUUGUAUCUUUAAAAUUAUAACAGUGGUGAUAUCAAACAAAUACUCUAGAAGUUUCUACACAAAAUACUCUACAACUUCGGUAUUCAAUGGAUAAUUAAAUUUUGCCAUCUAUAAGUUCUAAAACAUCUGAUAAGAUAACUGACUGAAUUUGUUUCAGACAGCAGCAUAGUUAACUUCAAAAUUCGAUAUCUCCCAAACUCCUCAACCAAAAAUUAUGAAAUUAUGCUGACAGUAAGAACUUUUUGUCCCUCUACAAAAGUAUCUAUAGUUGGAAGAGCCAAUUCGGCCAUUUACUAGAUGAAACCUACCAGUUAACAGACCCGCUCAUUUUUGUCAGGCAAACAAGAACCCUUAUAUAUCAAAGAGUAGUGGAUUUGAAUUUGUCUAAUAUGAAGUUUAUGGGCUUGGAUCAUUUAAAGUAUUUUAUAAUUCUGAAAGACAAGAUUAAACUAACUAUGUAUGAUCCUUUAGCACCGUACAGAUGGUCGAUGGGACAGUUACAUGGUUUAUAUAGAUGGACCUAUCUAUAUUCCUUCAGUGGUUGAGAAAAAGGUAAAGGUGUGUCACACUCACGUGUGCGCCGCCUCUGCCGAGAUGAGGCAUGGCGUUGCAAGGUGAGGCAUGGCAUGGUGCAGCACGAUCGCAGUCAUGGUCGUGGCACAGUGUAGCACUGUUGUGGAUAGAUAGAUAAACUAUUGUUGUAGUUAGAGUGCAUGAGUUUUUGAAUGCAACACUAGGAUUUUCACAAUUUAACUUAAUUAAGAAGUUAUAUCUUGAUGACACAGAGUUACCUGACCAUUGAUCUCACAUGCCCUUUUAGCUCUCUUGUUCUCUAGACUCACCCUGACUAUUGAGGUCUCUUGACUCGCCAAUAUAAACACCAUCCUAUCAUUUGCUCUCGAAUACUUUUGUGUCACAACUCAACUGUCAGAUGAGUACUCCAUUACAGCACUGAGCAGGCCUCCGAAAUGAAUAUCUACUCAGAUGAAGGACGACAAUCGUGUUCUAGGGAAAUAUCAGUGACACAACUCCUUACUUCCUCUGCUUCUUCCUAGUGUUUUUUGUUGUGAUUGAGUCGACACAGCAACAACACUGCACUAUUACAACCAGUACGACUAUAUUAACUAGCAAUGUCUUCCUUAUAUGUUACUAUUUAUUUUGCUCAUAUUCAUUAUGUUUAAAUCACAUAGGCACCUUUUUGUUGGCAUCAAAAAAUUAGUAUCAACUUUCUAGAUUAAAGUGAAACUAAAAGUACCUAAAUUUCUAUCGGUGGGGAUCGAGUGAUUCUUUAAACCGAUUAUUACACAAGUGAACCACACUAAAAUUAACAUUGGUGAAUCGUGCCAUGAUUUUUUCUAGUGGAAAAUAGCCAAACCAAGCAACACAUAUGUGGCUAUCGUUACACAUGUGUAAAGGUAUUGCAUCACACCAUUGUCACCCAUGUAUUUGGACAAUACCGAGAGGAAAAACCACUUAUUUAUUGUAUUUUAUCAAGUUUGUCUUGCUUACGUAUAAAUUAUAACCCAACAAAGUAAUCACUAAAUGUCAAAACCAACUAGAUACCAUGUCAUCUCUACCUUAUCUUACUAAUAUUCUUUUUGCAAAAUCCAAAAUUAAUCUUGCACAAGCACAAGGACUGAGAUGUGUAUAAAUAUCUCUUAAAUUAGUAGCUAAUAUAUCACACAUAUUAUUGAGACCAACUAGCAACAUAGAAAGCACAAUAGUGUACCAACAAUGGCAGCCAAAAUAUUUUGCCUCCUUAUGCUCCUUGGUCUUUCUGCAAGUGCUGCUACGGCGACCAUUUUCCCACAAUGCUCACAAGCUCCUAUAGCUUCCCUUCUUCCCCCGUACCUCUCACCAGCGGUGUCUUCGGUAUGUGAAAACCCAAUUCUUCAACCCUAUAGGAUCCAACAGGCAAUCGCAGCUGGCAUCUUACCUUUAUCACCCUUGUUCCUCCAACAAUCAUCAGCCCUAUUACAGCAGUUACCUUUGGUGCAUUUAUUGGCACAAAACAUCAGGGCACAACAACUACAACAACUUGUGCUAGCAAACCUUGCUGCCUACUCUCAGCAACAACAGUUUCUUCCAUUCAACCAACUAGCUGCAUUGAACUCUGCUUCUUAUUUGCAACAACAACAACUACCAUUCAGCCAGCUAUCUGCUGCCUACCCCCAGCAAUUUCUUCCAUUCAACCAACUGACAGCUUUGAACUCUCCUGCUUAUUUACAGCAGCAACAACUACUACCAUUCAGCCAGCUAGCUGGUGUGAGCCCUGCUACCUUCUUGACACAACCACAAUUGUUGCCGUUCUACCAGCACGCUGCGCCUAACGCUGGCACCCUCUUACAACUGCAACAAUUGCUGCCAUUCA
rnacentral:lncRNA from 1 species